UGCUGAAUGCUUAGGACUUGGUUUGGCGCUUUAGGAACUACUGAUGACGAAGUUUAUGAAGACAUCAAAAGAGUCAUUUUAUUGGUUUGGCAGUUCUAGGACUUGGUUGUCCUUUACUCAGAGCCAGAGCAGGUAGGUUCUGUUUUUACUCGGCUGUUUGUGAUUGAUGUUUGUUGCACCUUUUCCCCCUCUCUUUUUCUAACUGUAUUGUAGGUUUGGGUCAGUGGUUGGGCUAUGAAUUUAUGAAUAUCACACUGUUGUGUCUGGUUAACACUGCAGACUCCUCGAAUUGUCUCCUUACUGUCUGAGUCUUACAACCUACCAAGACAACACCGAACCAAACCUUUGACAUACAGAAGAAAAACAUUCCUUGCAAUAAAAUUAAAACUGAUACAAAAACCACAACAUCCAUAGGGAAGCAUCAAAACACCUCAAAAGGAUAACCACAAUGACACCUGCAUACACCACAGUUCAUGAUAGCAAUCGAAAAAGAGAUCAACUUCAAGACAUCAUCCCAUGUUUUCAAUUUGUGAGCAUCCCUUAGAAACUAAAUAAACACCAUAAAAGAAGCAUCCAACAAAUUGGCAGCAAUGCUGUAACAGCAAACCUAUUGCCUCCAUGAGUCUUUAAUUAGAACCCCAAAUAUCUUAUACCAAAACAAGGAGCAACAUCAAAACCUUCACAAUUAAACACUCUUGAAAAGUUGCCUACACACCCUCCUCACUUAUCCUUGGAUUAAAACAUGUUCUUAUCACCCCUAAACACCACCAGUCAAAAUCAUAUCUUCCUCAAGUUCAAAAAACCUCCUAGUUGAAGAGAAGACAAUCGAAAUCAUCCUUAACCCACCAACCCUUAUUCAACAUCGAUCAAGAGGACAUUGAGCAUGAUUCCAUGAUAAGCUUGUUAAAAUCUCUCAAGAAAGAAAAGGGUGAUGAGCAGCAUUCAACAGUGUUCCUCAUCAGCUAUGGCCUUCAAUGAUGAACCUCAGCCCCCUCAGCCGUUCGAGUUCACAUCCUGAUUUCACUUUGAUUUCGUUUCGAUGAUAGGUUUUAGAGACAAAUUGUGUUUCGUCACAUUCUUUACUUCAGGAGUUCUCUACUAAUCAGUUACAUUCUUUCUAAUGUUCUUUCUAUUUGUACGGAAAAUAUUGUCAUAUACAUGCUCAACCAUUAUUCACCUUUUAAUUUAAGCUGAAAAUUGCGGAAUUCGAUUUUGUUGCCUAAUUUCCUUUUUUUUUUUGAUGCUUACAAUUCUUUUCACAUUUUUUUUUCAAAUCAUAUAUAUAGGUUACAACUACGUGGCAUAGCUUUUAAAUUAUUAUUUGUCACAAUAAUAAUAUUUUACAUGUAAUUGUUGAUUAUAUUUAAAAAAUUAAUUGAAGGUAAAUCCUUAUAAAUAUAUUGUAUUUUGGAAUCAAUAUUUUAGAGUGAUUUUUAGCUAAAAAAAUAUAUGCUCUAAAAUAUAUUAAAUAUACACUGAAAAUAUCAAAUUAAAAUUAAUUCUAAUUUUAUUUAUAAUUAAUUUAAAUAAAUUAUGAGAAAUAUAAACUAUAAAGCAAAUUGAAACAAAUAUAUAUUGUAAAAUUUUAAACUUAAAUAGUAAAUUGUUAAGCUUAAAAUAUACUAUUAAGUAAAGACACGUUUUAAUAAGAUUGGUUAAAGUAAAUUUACAUAUAUAUUUCAAAUUCUUAAUUAAUUUAAACAAAACUCAAUUAUAUUAAUACAUAAAAACAUUAUAUUCUUUUUCAAAUUAAUUAAUUUAUUAAAAUUGAAUGUUCCAUAUUCUAAUCCUUAGGAUGGAAAUGGUUGGGGUAUUAUGGGAAAAGAAAUAUUGACAAAUUGUCUCACAAGUCAACGACGAAAAUGACUUUCUCUUUAAGAAGGACAAAAGCAUGACCUAAGAAAGUAUACCACAGUGUGCAGUAAAGUGAAGCAAACUCAAGGGUUUUCUUGUAAUGGAUGUGAGUGAGUGUGAGAGUAGGACGGUGGGGGAGACCAUGGAACUUCAACAUUUCAGUCAUCCACAUCCUUUGGUCUUCUUCGAAUAUCAGACUUUUGCAAGCGAAGAAGUAGAUCCAGAAGCAGCUCUUUGCCUUGGGUGUGAGAAACCUGUAGAGGGCUGGAGCUAUGGCUGCAAUAAAUGUGAGGUUUAUCUUCAUAAGGAAUGUGCUUAGUUAGAGUUAGCCCCCCAGAUUCAGUAUGCCUUCCACCCCAAACACCCUCUCACUCUUUUGCCAAAAUCACCUUAUUUUGGGGGGCGCGGAUUGUGCGACUUUUGUGGUAAGGAAUUAAGGGGAUUUGUUUAUAAUUGUAAUGAUUGUAUGUUCGAUCUGCACAUCAAUUGUGCUUUGCUUCAAUCAUCCAUUGCUGCUAAUUUUCCUAAUUCUUCGCACCCCCAUCCAUUGUUCUUCAUUCAAAAUCAUAACAAUGAAGUCAAGCCUGAUUGCCCCGUGUGUCAAAAACCAAUAUCUGGUCCAUUUUACCACUGUUCAGAUUGCACUUAUCCUACAUUGUUUAACAUUCAUACGGAAUGUGCUGAGUUAGAGUUAGCCCCCAAGAUUCAGCAUCCUUUCCACCCCAAACACCCUCUCACUCUUUUGCCAGCACCUUAUUUUGGGGAGUGCGAUUUGUGUGGCAAGGCAAUUUGGGGAAUUUCAUAUAAUUGUUAUGAUUGUAAGUUCAGUCUGCACAUCAAUUGUGCUUUGCUUCAAUCAUCCAUUGUUGCUAAUUUUACUAGUUCUUUGCACCCCCAUCCAUUGUUCUUCAUUCAAAACCAUAACAAUGAAGUCGAUUCUGAUUGCCCCGGGUGUCAAAAACCAAUAUCUGGUCCAUUUUAUCACUGCUUAGAUUGCAGAUAUCCUAGAGUUUAUAACCUUCAUAAGGAAUGUGCUGAGCUACCCCUUGAGAUUAAUCACCCCUGUGACCGUAAACAUCCUCUUACUCUCUUGCCACAACGGCCUACUCAUCCCCAGAAAUGUAGUUGCUAUUUGUGCAGAAUCCAAUGGAAGGGGUUUGUUUAUUCCUGCUCUCUAUGCAACUUUGAUCUUUCGCUUGAUGAUUUUCUUUUUUCACCACCAACAAUCACAGUUCCAAGUCAUGAACACCCGUGGAUGCUUGUAUCUAGAAAAAUGUCUUUUGUUUGUGAUUUUUGUGGCACUGACGGAGAUCACUCCCCUUAUCACUGUGAUACAUGUGUACUUUUUGUCCACAAGAAUUGCAUUUCAUUGCCACGCCACAUCAGGAUAACACGACAUCGUCACACGAUUUCUCUUUCGUAUUAUUGUCGACAGAAUCGAAUUGAGGAUUGGAUGUGCAAAAUUUGUUACGAGGAAGUUGAUAUAAGCUAUGGUCAUUACCAUUGUCCUGCUUCUCGUUGCCGUUAUAUUGCUCAUGUACGUUGUGCAACUGAUAAAGCAAUUUGGGAUGGAACAAUUAUGCUAAAAGGCUAUGAUGAGAGGUCCGGGGAAGUGCUGCAUAAACCUUCGAAUUUGAUUACUGACAUCGUUGAACAAAUUAGUAUUGGAGAGCUAAUGGUAGCAAGUGAGAUAAAGCAUUCCUAUCAUGAUCAUAAUUUAAGACUGACUUUGAGUGGGAAGACCAAAGAUGACGAUAGUCAGUGUGAUGGGUGCACGAGACCUAUAUCAACUCCUUUUUAUGGUUGUGAGCAAUGCGAGUUCUUUCUCCACAAAGAUUGCGCUGAAUUGCCUAAACAAAUGCCACACCCAUUUCACAAGCAUUUGCUUACUCUCUCAAACACACACGAUGAGAAUGGUUAUUCAUGGUGCAGUGCUUGUCAUCGUUGGUAUCAUGGAUUUCAAUACCAAUGCUACGAAGGAGAUUGCAGCUUCAAUAUUGACAUUCAAUGUAUGUUAUUGUCGGAAACCUUGAAGCAUCCAAGUCAUCAUGAGCAUUCACUCUUUCUUGUCCACAACAACCAGGAAACGAGUUGCAGUGCUUGUUUCAAAACACUAAACUCAGGGAAUGUUGCAUAUAGAUGCAUGAAGCGCUGUGAUUUCAGUUUAGAUGUAGGUUGUGCAACACUACCACUCACUGCUUGGUACAAGUAUGAUAGGCAUCCUCUUACUUUGACUUAUUCUGAUGAUUCUGAGCCUUCUCAACAUUACUGCGACCUCUGUGAGAAAGAAAGAGAGCCAAAUCGUUGGUUUUACUACUGUGCUGAUUGUGAUAACUCUCUUCAUCUUAAUUGUGCUAUUGGAGAUCUCCCAUAUAUGAAGCUUGGAAACAAAUUCCACUAUUAUCGUCAUAAACAUCCAUUCAUUGUUGUGAAAAACAUCUGGAACUGCCCUCCAUGUAAGGUAUGUGGUGAGGUUUGCAAUGGGCAAGCCCUGGAAUGUAAAGAAUCUGAAUGCAACUUUAUUGUCCACUGGAGUUGCCAUUGUAGACUCAAGUUUAAGAAACAGAGAAGGCGCAAGAUGAGAGGUGUGUUGUGUUCUGUGGAAGGAUGUAGCAGAUUUGGUAAAAAUGGGUGAUGACCUUAGUUGUUGUAAUCUGCAUUAUGUUAUGUUUAUGAUAGUUGUUUGUGCAGUAGAAGAUUGUGUUAGAUGAAAUAUGAUUUGUAACAACACAUCUCUCACUUUUCUAUCUGAUUCUUAUCCUUUCAACUUUUAUCUAAAAUUACUGAUGAGAUUGAAGAAUUGGUUUCUAGUUUUUCAUAAGAAAAUAUUUUUAUCAUCUGAACCAUGACAAUACUAAAAUAAUGAACAUAAUGUUGAGUUUCGAAAUUUAAAUACAAAAUCAUUCCUCCGUUCAUAAAAAUUGUGAGUGAUUGUUAAGACCAUGAAAUGUAUAAAUGGUUUCUCAUUUUUUUUCUAAAAAUCAUAAAUUUAGCAUUUGAAGAUAAAAACAUAAUCGAAUUUGGUAUAUCUAUAAAUGUUUAUUUACUUAUUUGUUAUUUUUGCAAAGUGGAAAUGUAUGGGGUUUGUGACAUAAAUCAAUCAAGAUUUUGUGACCUUAAAUCAACCGGCCAUAAAAAAAAAUGUAAAUAUGUUUUAGCUUUACAAGUUAGGUUAAUUUUAUUUCACUUAAUUAGUAAUUAUUUGUACUCCAUAUUUAAAAUAAUAUUAUUAUGCCUAAAUUCUAGAAAAGAAUUUUUUCUUUAUUUGAGGUCUUUUUCUAAUUUUUUUGAAUUUUCCGUCAGAGUUUUUUGUAAUUUCAUUUUAAAGAUAAAUCAACACUUUUUACAACUUAGAAAAGAAUAAAAUCAAUUUAGGAAAAAAGUCCUUUUUUUUUUCUUUGCCCUCAAAAUAUUAAGAAAAAAAACCCUUUUCUUUUAUUUCGCUUUUUAAUUUUAAUUUUUAUUAAAUUAUCCAGAACUAGAUGAAAAAGUUAACGAGCUGUUAAUUUUGAUGAUGUGAAUGAUUAAUGUUUAUGUAACAUCCAUGACAAUUCACGUGUGCCACGUCAAUAAAAAUUAAUUAUGUUUAUAAAAUUUAAAAAUAUAUUAAAUAUUAAAAACUAACAUCUGACUUUUUUUAAUUAUUAUUUUUAAAAUUUCAAAUUCUUAAAUAAUUUAAUAUUAAGCUGCCAAAUUUAAAAUAUUAAUAAAUUAAACUAAACGCUUUUUCCAUUAAUAAAAAACAUUUUCUUCCUUAUUCUUUUUUAAAAAAACCAAAAUGAACUCUAAAAGAUACUUCGAUCUCUCGAACCCACAUUCGAAUCAUUUUAAAAUUCUAAACAUAGCUUGUUGCACUUACAAGUAGAAAAACAAAAGAAAAACGAGCUUUUAACUCAAAUGAGAGAAUAUUAUUUUUAUUGAAUUGAUGAAUAAAUCCAUAUAGUUCUAGCCUUUUAUAGGUCUUGUAAUAGCUCAAAGCUAAAAAUAACAAAACUAAAUAUGAGAAAAUUUGAAAAUUUUAUUUAAGUUCUCUCAAACUUUUUAAAAAUUCUCAUUAAUUUUUUCAAAAUUUUUAAAAAAUUGUAAUCAAAAUUUUUAAAAGUUUUAAAAAUUCUUAUUAAGCCCCAAAAAUAUUUUAAACCUUGAUUAAUCCCUCUCAAAAUUUAAUGCCAAAAUCCACCGUUGAUUUUAUAUAACAAAAAUACUAUUAUGCAAAAAUUCUAAAUUGAAUUCGGGGGAAAUUAUUUAAAAUUAAUUAGAUAACCUUUUGCAUAAUUUUUAUUUUUGAAUUAACUAUUCCAAAAUUAUUCCUCUCUAUUAUAUUUUUAUUAUCAGUUGAAGCGGACAUAACUACAAUGAAAGUGACCAAAUUCCAAAUUAUUGUAUUUUGAUACCAAAAUUCAAGUAUUGUGUAAUUUAUCUCCUCCAAAAUUGUAAUGAUAAAAAAAAUGAUAAUGGCAUAUUCAACCCCUAUACUUUAUCAAAAUAUCUAAUAUGGUAUCUUCACUUUUAAAUAUCAACUUUGAUACCUAAAUUUUAGAAAUUUUUUAGGACUUAAAUAAUAUAAUUUUUGUUAUAAUUUUAUAAGAUACACAUAUUAUUUUUAUAAUACAUUUUUUUUAGAAUUUAUAAUUAUAAUUUUUUUUGCUACAACGAUCUCAAAUACUCAUUUGUGUUUAUGCUUAUGAUGUAAUUUUUAUAACUUGUAAAGUAUAAUUUUUUAAAGGUAGAUUUUGGUGUAAUUAUAUGCGUAAUUAUUCUAAUUCUCAUCUUCCCCUAGAAAUUGAAAAGUAUAAGCGGGGUGCUCCAAUUACAAUUAAUUUAGUGGGUCCUACAAAUUAUAAUACUUAUAAAAACAUGACAUUCUUAACUAAUUUCAAGUAAUUACACCCAAGUUCAGUUAUCAGAUGACUUUUCAAAUACUACCUUAGUAAAAAUUAGUGAUUGAUCAAAAAAGUUAAUUGAAAGCUUUGCUUCUUAUUUUAAAUUAGAGGUAUUCAUGGCUCGUGUGGCUUAGCCCGAAGGCUUGCCUGAAAAGUAGGAGAGUUUAGGCAAAAAUAUAAGCCCGAAAUAGUUUUGGACAAAAUUUAUGGCCUGUUUAGAAAAUGAGUUGGACCUCGAGUAAGUUUUUUUUAACCUGGGCCCAGCUCGAAUUUGAAAAAAAACACUCUUUUUCUUGUUUUUCACUGUUUUGUUGUCAUUUCACUAUUAUGUUGUUAUUGUUUAGAUAUUGUCUAACUCUUAUUUUAUUGUCAAUUUUGCUACUCUUUUAGAGACUUUUGCUUGUUCAAUUUCACCUAUCUUAAUUUUAUUUACGUAUAAAUAUUUUUAUUUUAAUUUAUUUUUAAUUUAUUGGGAAACAUUUAUUUUAAUAUUUUAAGUAUAUUUGGUGUGUUAUGUUUUUAAAAUUUUCUAUAUAAAAAAUUUAAUACGGGUGGGCCAGACCAAACCUAUCAAUUGGGCCUAAAAAACUGCUAAGGCCUAACCCAAUCCGACCCAUAAACACCUCUAUUUUAAAUCAUCUUCUUUGCUGAUUUAGGCUUAAGUAAAGAGGUGUUUAAGCAAAGAGAUAAAAAGGAAAAAAAAAUCCGACAAACAAAAUAAAAAAUCUUGGUUGGAAAGAGAAAAUAUAAAUAUCAAAUUCUUUAUAACUUGUUUAAGAAUAUUUGGAUCAACAUAAUGAAAAAAGAAUGAUAAUGACAUAUUCAAUCCCUAUACUUUAUCAAAAUAUCUAAUAUGAUAUCUUUACUUUUAAAAUAUUAAUUUUGACACUUAAAAUUUAAUAUCCUUCUAAUGGAGUUAAAAUCUUACAUCACUUUGAAUGCAACCAAUUGUAUGCUGCCAUGUGGCACUAUUAGUUUGAAAAAAUUUAAUCAAAGUCAUGGGAUUUGAAAAUAAUUAUACCAAAAAUUGUUUUAAAGGCAAAAAGAAAAAAAAAACAUUAAGACCAACCCAAGCCCGACACAAUUUAGCCCAUCAACUCAUCUACCCUAAACUUAAACUUUGCUCUCACACUACCCAAUUCAAUCUUCGCUUAUAAAAAUUGCUGUCUAAAUUAUACAUGUUUUCUCAAAUACAUUUUUAAACUUCUUUUUUGUCAAUUUGAGUAUUUAAACUAUUUUUUUUCACAUCGGUACCCCCAUUAGUUAUCCUUUAGUUUGAUUCGUUGGAAUAAAAAUAAAAUAAAAAUUAGCUUUCGGAGAGAUGAUUGAGUGGUUGAUAGCUUCGGUCCCGAAAACCGGUAUAGUUCGAAACAAAGAACUAUUGAGGGUUCGAAUCCCUUUCUCUCCUUUUGCUUGAUGAAUAGAUUUCUUUCUUUAUUACUUUUUCCUGACUUCUUAAUUAAGAAUCUUAAUAUUAAUAAAAGGUAAUGGCUCGAUUAGGUGGAAUAGCUGAGCCAGAAAAAAAAUUUAGAUAGAAAAUGAGUUGAAACGAAAGGAAAACAUAAUACUUUUUAAAUAUCAUCUGAUUCCUUCAAUAUAUAUAGUGUAAUCAAAUUGAUUCCUACCUUAAGCAUUGGAUCUCUUGUCUCAGUUAUCUCAACUAAAAGGAGUCAUGGAAAGAACAGGCUCAAAAUCACAAUCAAUUACUUUUUCAAAUCCUGCUGCAGUUGCGCAAGCUCUUCCCGCGUGCCAUAAAUAACCCACGAAUAGGAAGAAUCCUAGAACAAAAUGAAAGGUAGCCAAAGUUGUAUGUCUUUUUUCAACCUACUCAAGUCCAAACCACUGGGGUCUCUUAUAGGUUCUAACCAAAGAGCACGCAGAUUAAACGCAUAGUUUUCCCUCCAAAAAUGACUUCCUCCGUCGGGGAACACAUUAGAUAUUUACCUAACCUAGUAGGUGUAACGGCCUAAUUUUCAAUGGUGUCAAAAAUGGUGAUUUGAGAUCACUAAAUUCAACAAGUAAGAUUGAACAAGAUAGUAAUUUAAUAUUUAUGAGUCAAGUAAUAAUUUAGAAAAAUUUGUAAAUUGGUGAAUUUAGUGAAUUAAUAGAAUUUAUUAGUCAAACGGGUCAAAAAAUGAGGUUUCGAGACCUCAAAUUUGAAAACUAAGCCAUAAAUAUUUUUAUAAAUAUUUAUGGAGUGUCAUUUAGUUAGUGUUAAAGUUUGGUUGAGAAAUUUUAACGUUUGGGUAGUCAAUUAAAUAAAAAGGACUAAGUUGUAACAAAUGCAAAAUUUUCUAAAAGGAUUAAAUAGCUCAAGUGUUAAAAGAAAUAGGAUUUAAAGGGAAAUUAAGCCUAAAAGUGAAUAGGCUGGACGACAAGGGCAAGAAAAUCAACAGAAAAAUAAGGAAAAUAAGGGCAAAAUUAGAAAUUCUAUAAUUUUAACAUAUAAAAUAAGGACAAAAUUGAAAAAUCUAGAGAUCUCUUCAUAUUUUCUCAGUUAAAACGCCAUAGGAGGUCUGGAGAAAGCUGGUUUUCAUAUUUUUACAUCAUAUCAAGAAUCCAAAGAAGAACGAGGAAACAAAAAAGUUGCAGAAUAGUUCCUAGAUUUCGAAAUCUUCUACAAAUCAGUCGGGCAAGUUCAUAUGGUUGAAUUUACAUGUUUAUUUGUGAAUGAUUGAAUGAUAUAAUGUGUUAUUAAAUAUGAAUUUGCUGUGGGAUUGUGAAAAUUAUGUUAAAAUGAAAGAAUAAAUGUGGAAAUUCAAAUUAGAAAAAAUUCAGGAUUGAGAACGUUCGUAUCGUGACAUGUGAUGAAUUGACGGAUAAGACCAUGGUUGAUCCAUGGCAAAGUUGUGAAACGUAGCUAUGGUAUCAUUCAUACUGAGUUGUGAAACGUAGGUAUGGUAUUAACCAUACCGAGUUGUGAAACAUAGGUAUGGUAUUAUCGAUAUUGACUUAAGAAAUGUAGGUAUGGCUUUCCCCAUACCGAGUUGUAAAAUGUAGGUAUGGUAUUUCAAUGAGGAAAACUAUACUGAGUUGUGAAUCAUGGCAUUGAGCAACGACGUACUCAAUUUUGUAAGCCGUUUCCUUAUUUGAUAAUAAGUAAUACAAGAGGAGUGAACCAAAUAAAAGAGAUUGAGUAGUUGUUAAUGUUGAGCUCAACUAUAUGAAGUAUUAUAACAGUGGUUGUGAAUGACUAGGAACUUUAGUAAAUGUUUUGUUAUUGUUAGGAAAUAUUAUGUUUGGUAAGCAUUACUUUUAAACCUAUGAACUUACUAAGCUUUAAUAAGCUUACUUGUGUGUGCUUGAUAUUUUUAUGUAGAUUGAAUUGAAGUGAAAUUGGUAGAUCGGAUCAACACAACAAUGCACACUAUCCAGAUCAAUUCCGAUAGCUUUUGUUUUAUGUUUAAAGAUUUAUAUGGCAUGUAUAAAGUUUAAAUGAAAUGAAGUAAAGAUAUUAUAAACUAGUUAACAAUAUUUUGUACUAAAACAGUUUUUAGUUAGCAGUAGUAGUUCAACUUUGAAAAUUCACCAUAAAUUAUGAAAAUUGAAUUAGAGGUUGAAUAAGAUAUGGAAUUAAAUCCUAUUAAAUAUAGUUUCACAUAGAAGAAACGGUGUAAGCAAAAGACUUUCAUAUUAGGAGAUACUUGAAUUUUUAUGAGAUAAGUUCAGAGUGAUUUUGAGUUCCCCUGUUCUAACUUUGGAAAAUCAUUAAAAAUUGUAAAAGAAUAAUUAUGGGUUAUAAUUUAUAUGCUUAAAAUCCUUAAUGAGUCUAUUUUUAAAAGAACAAACAAAAACAUCAUCUGAAUCCUUUAUGAGGAGAUAAUUAAUUUUUAGUGAAGAGGGGUCAGAACUAUCAGACAGCAAAACAGGGGAGACUUUAAAGAAUAAAUUGUACAUAUUGGCUAGACCAAAAAUUCUGAAAAUUUUAUGGUAGGAAGAUAUGUGAGUCUAGUUUCAGGAAAAAUUAGCAUAUCUUAAUUUGGAUUUCUGUAGCUCAAUAUAUUAAUAAUUUAGUGACUAUGACUCGAGUGAACAACUUUGAUGUGAAUAUAAGUAAAUAAUGAAAUUUUUGUGUAAUUAUUCCGUAAACUUCAAUAACAUCUUGUAACCCUGUUCCGGUAACAAAUGUGGGUUAGAGGUGUUACAGUAGGCCCUUAAGCAGAUUCGACGUUAGCCCUAAGACGUUGGUCUCUAAUUAGAAAAGCAAAUGCUUGAGCUUGAGAAGCUUCUGGUCCAGUGGGCCCGUAAAAGUCACAUGCCAGUUGUUAGUCAACCUCAAUCAAUGAUGAUGUGUUCUAAUCACCAAUUAACAUGAGGUAAAAAAAAAUCACCUCGUUAUUUGUAUAAAAUAAUUCCAAAAUUAAAAAAAAUAGAGAAAUUAAAAUUAUUUUUCUGAUUUUAUAAAUUUAUAUUAGCAUUUAUAUUAAUAUUAAUUGAAAAAAAUAGUAAAAAGUAUUUCCCCACCUCAUCUCUCUCCCACCUUCUCCCUAACAUUGCUCUCCCAUCCCUCUCUCUCCUUCUCCCCUCCUAACCCUCUCCCUUUAUUAACCCUUCAAUUAUAUUUUCAUCAAAAGAAUUAUUUUUCAUUUCUUUCUUAAACAUUGAUUCUUUGUCCCAUAGUUGCCUUCAAAUCCGUCCACCACAUGUUUGGGAAGAUGACCCUCAAGAAAUAAAUUUCAAGCCUGAAAUUGGUGUUUUCCUUUUUUAUGUAUUGAAUUUGUUUCCUUACAAUAAGAUCUUUUACAGUAAAGUGUAGCACAAGGGAAAGUGUUGAGAAAAAUGGGAUUAUGAUGUUUUAAUUCUUGACUUAAUGUUGUCCAGGUAGAUGGAAGAUGACAAAAUCUCCAUUUGAAGAUCAAAGGAAAUUGAGAUGCAAGUUGUCUUUGGAGAAGAAGAGGGAGGGGAGAGCGGUGGUGGAGGAAGGAAAUAUCUUUUUUAAUUGAUAUUAAUAUUAAUAUAAAAUUAUAAAAUCAAAAAAAGAAAUUUUCUAAUUUUUUUAUUUUGCUAGGUGUCAACUGGUAAUUGGGCCAUGUAAUUACUGACAAAAUUGAUUGACCUAUGUGGGGUGGGGGGGGGAGGGGGAAUUAGUUUAGCUACUCAAAUUGAUCAAAAAAGUGUUUAGAUACCCAUUUGAGAAAACAAAUACAGUUUAAAGAAUAAAUUUUAUAUUAAGCCUUCAAUCUAUAAACAGAUUUACUUAUAAUUUAUUUAAAUUAAUUUAAUAACAUCGAUUCAAAUUAAUUCUUAGAAUUAAAUCCUAUAGUUCAUAUAUUAAUAAUAAUAAAUAUUAUAUUAUGAUACAUUAUUGAUGUGGAUAAAAAAAUAUGUAAAAAAAUUAUAAAAAAUAUUAAAAAAAUGAACCUUUGGAUUAAAUUCCAUAUUAUUAUAAAUUUUAUGAAAAAAAGUCUUUAUAAUAAUAGUAAAAAUUUUAAUUUUUAAUAAUUUUUAAACUGAUAUUAAACUAAUUCAUAUCAUCCAAUCAAUUAAGUAGAUAUGCUUCUUCUUUAUCUGUUAGUCUUUAGUAGUUUCUAGUUAUGUCUUUCACCUACAACUUAUGAAUGAUGCAUUUGUAAUUAAUUGGAUUUGGUCACAACUGUACUGACAUCGAUUCAACUAAAAAUUGAUGAUUUGAUUGGUUUAAUCACCGAUUAAACUGUUAAUCCAAAAUAGUCAAUAAAAUAUUUUUAUUCUAGGAUAAAUAUACAUUUUGGUAUUUGAACUUGAUUUCAAGGUUCAAAUUAGUACUUAAAAUUUAGGGUUUAAAUAGAAAGAUAAUGCACUUCAACACACUCAAACUCAUGUCUUCUUGUAUUGACAACAAUGCGUAUGCCAAUUAAGUUAAAGCUCAAUUGGCGAUUUUAGACUCUUAAAAAUUAAUAAUUCAAUUUAAUUUAAUUCUUUAACCCAAAACUUUGAAGUUGGGCUCUCAAUAAUAUAUAUUUUAUGCUAAUCAUUUUAAUUAAAAUAUUUUGAUUUUCGAUUUUGUCUCCUAGUGAGCAAUCGAUCAAUCCAAUCCAAAGAUUUAACAAACUUUUUUAUGAAUCAAAAUAGAACCAAAUUCUCUAUAAACCCGACAAAAUCAAAUUAAUUUUUUUCUUCUUUUAUUAAUUUAGGUUGCUUGGUGCUUAAGGCAAUGAGAUUCUAAUUCCAGAUAACAAAUAAAAUAUUAGCUAUUUCAAAAUUUAAAAUAAAAAUUUAAUAUUUGAAAAUAAUAUCCUAUUAUAUUUCACAAUUUCUUUUGAAGAAUAUCUGGAACUUUUCACUAACAAUUAAAAAAUCUCAAAAAAAAAACUAGACAUCAAUUCAAUCAAGAAAAUUACUGAAAAACUAUUUUUUAAUAAAGUAAUAAAUAUUAAUACAAUGGUGUUUUCGUCUUUGGCUAUUCGCAUAUGAAAUGCUUAAAUAAAAGCAUUGAAAGUUAAAUGUAUAAAGAUUAAGCCUGAGCUUAUAAGAAAACUUAGUUAUGAAUACUAUGAUUGAAUUAUUAAAUAAUAUUGACAACAAAAUACUAAAUAAACUUUUUUUAUAAAUAUGUUUUUAAUAUUAAUUUUUUCUUUCACUUGUGGAUAUGACAAAACUCGCUAUAUUUAAAAUUGAAAGUCGAUUAAUUUGAUUUUAGAUUUCCAAAAUGAAAACAAGCUUACCGGACCAACAACAUACUCGACAAAACUAAAAUCGACCCAUUGAAUUGCUUUAGUCAGUUUGACCCUACUAUUGCACACCCUUAGUUUUGCUCCCUGAAUGUAAGUAUACUUGUUAACAUCGGAACUGGUAUCAUUGGAAUGAAACGUGGAGAGCAAGCGACGAACUUUUCCGAAGAAAAGUGUCCUCUCCUACUUCCUUCUUCCUCUUACUUUCUUCUGAUGUUUCCUUCUUCUUUCUUUCUUUAUUUGCUUAAUUAUAUGUAUAUCUAUUUGUAGAAUUUCGAAGAUUGGGCAAAGCAUCAAUAUAUUCCUUUCUUUAUGAAGACCAAAACCAACACCCAAGAAAAUAAUCUACUAACCAUGAGGCCUGGAAUAAUUUGAUGAAGCAAUUUCAUUUUUGUUCUUCUUCUUCUAAAUAAUUUCACAGUAUCUGAGAGUUGGAAAGAAAGAGAGAUGGAAAUUCAACAUUUCAGCCAUCACCAUCCUUUGGUCUUCAUCCAAUAUCACAGUGUUGCAAGCAAAGCAGCUCUUUGCCUUGGGUGUGAGAAACCUGUAGAGGGCUGGAGCUAUGGCUGCAAUCAAUGUGAGUUUUAUCUUCAUAACGAAUGUGCUGAGUUAGAGUUAGCCCCCCAGAUUCAGCAUCCCUUCCACCCCAAACACCCUCUCACUCUUUUGCCAAAAUCACCUUAUGGGGACACAAACUGGUGCGAUUUGUGUGGUAAGAGAUUUCAGGGAUUUGCUUAUAAUUGUAAUGAUUGUGGUUUCGAUCUGCACAUCAAUUGUGCUUUGCUUCAAUCCUCCAUUGCUGCAAAUUUUCCUAAGUCUUUGCACCCCCAUCCAUUUUUCUUCAUUCAAAACCAUAACAACGAAGUCCAUUUUGAUUGCUCCGGGUGUCAAAAACCAAUAUCUGGUCCAUUUUACCACUGCUCAGAUUGCACAUAUACUAAAGUUUUUAACCUUCAUAAGGAAUGUGCUGAACUACCCCUUGAGAUUAAUCACCCUUGUGACCGUAAGCAUCCUAAUACUCUCUUGCCACAACCGCCUACUCAUCCCCAGAAAUGUAGUUGCUCUAUGUGCAGAAUCCAAUGGAAGGGGUUUGUUUAUUCCUGCUCUCUUUGCAACUUUGAUCUUUCACUUGAUGAUUUUCUUUUUUCACCACUAACAAUCACAGUUGCAAGUCAUGAACACCCGUGGAUGCUUGUAUCUAGAAAAAUGUCAUUUGUUUGUGAUUUUUGUGGCACUGACGGAGAUUACUCCCCCUAUUUCUGUGCUACAUGUCACCUCCUUGUCCACAAGAAUUGCAUUUCAUUGCCACGCCACAUCAUGAUUGUCGUAACCAUUUUUUUUGGUAAAACGGUAGUCGACUUGGAUUUUGAAAAUGAAAACAAAAAAACGGGGAGUCGCCACCAAUCCUUUUUGAUGAGGUGUGAUCGGAUCACCUUAAAUUAAUCAUUUUAAUAAAAGUUAAGACUUACUAAAACGAUAAUUUUUGGUCUACGAAAAUCAGAAAAUGAGUUUGGGAGUCGAUUACGCACGAGGAAGGAUUAGCAUCCUCGAUACGCCCAAAAUUGGUACCUAGUUGAUUAAUUAGUGUCUCAAUGUCGAAAAUUUGAAAACUUGAAAGAAUUUAAAAUACGAUCCCUUUUUUGUGAAGUAAACAUUGAAGCGUUAAAGACAUUCUCGUUUCGAGGCAACGACACGUCAUAUCCAGUGAGUUAGGAUACGGCAUCUCGAUCUUUUGAGAAUGAGCUUGCCUUUUAUUUAAAAUUGAUGUAUUUUGACUUCUUUUAAAAGGAUAUUCGGCUAGUUAGAGUGAACGAGAGAAGUCGAAACCCAGUAAGUUAGGGCACGUUUCCUCGAAUUUUCGAACAACGAACAUUGCCUUUAUUUGCAAAAAUUCUUAUUUCGAGGUAACAAAGUGUCAUACCCGGUAAGUUAGGGCACUACACCUCGUAUCUCCGAAAGUAAGCAUUUUUAAGACUCGUGUUGCAAUUUAAAUGAAUAUUCCAUUAUAUAGGUUAAAUGAGAAAAAUUGAAACCCAGUAAGUUAGGGCACGAUUGUCUCGAAUUGCCAAAUACGGAACAUCACUUUUAUGAAAGGAUUAUUUUAAGGCAUUGAGUAAAAAUAUAAUGUAAUUUAUAGUAAUACAUAAAAGUAGAUUAUGAUAUUAAUAAUAACGUAUAAUAAUGAGUGAUAAUAACGAGUAAUUAUGAAAAGAUGACAUAGAAGUAAGGUUAGUAAUACGUAAAUAUAAACAAAUGCGUGAGAAAAAUGAAAUGAUCGAAUACAUAAGUAAAUAAAGGAAAUAUAAAACAUGAUAGCACAAAAAUGACAAUAAUGAUGAAAACGAUAAUAAUAAUAAUAAUGUUGAUAAUGAUAAUAGUGGUGGUAAAACUAUAAUAUUGAUGAUAAUAAAAAUAAUAAUAAGAGUAUUAAUAUUUGUAUUAAUAAUAGUGAUAAUAAUAAUAGAAAAUAAUAAAGGAAUGAUAUUAGAAAUAGUAAUAAAAAAUGAAAAUAAUAGUAAUAAUAAUGGUAAAUACAAAUAGUAAUAACAAAAUACAAAUAAUAAAUAACCUAAAGUUUAAAAUUAAUAUUUAAAAAGAUAUAAAUAAAAUAAAUGAUGAAAUAUUAAUAAUAGGGGUAACGACAUAUAAGUAAAAUAAAUGUGCUAAAUAUAUGUAUUAAAUUAGUUAAUAUAUAAAAAAAUAAUAAUAACGUAUAGGUAAAUACAAAAGAGGAAAAUAUAAUAAUAAUAAUACAAUAGUAAUAAUAGUAAAAGGUGUAACGAUAUAAUAAUAUGAUGGUAAUAAAAAUACAAUAAUAAAAAUAUAUUAAAUAACAAAUAAUAAUAAUGAUAAUAAUAUAGAAAUAUGAAAAGCAAAUAUAUUAAGUGUUAAAUUAAAAUAAUAAAAAUUACUAUAUAUAUAUAUAUAUCUAUGUACAUAAUAUAUCUAUGUAUGUAUUAGAAAAUAUAAUAUAUAUAUAUAUAUAUGCAUGCAUUGUAUUUAGAAGAAGAAAUAUAUAUGAUGUAGUAUUGAUGUACAUGCAUAACAUACAAAUAUAUUAAUAAAAAGAAAACAAUAAUAUCAAACUAUUAAUAUACUAUAUAACAUACAUACAUAUAAGUAUUAAACGAGAAUGAUACUAAGGCUAAUAAAUAAUAAGUAUAAUAAUAAUAAUAAUGAAAUAUAAUAGUAUGUAUAAUGUUAAAAUUGAAAUAAAAUAAUGAGCAAAAGUAAAAGAGGGAUGAAAAUAAAAAGGGAAACGAAUUUUGGGACAAAUUUCAAAAGAAAUAAAAAGGAAACGACCUAAUUGCAACAGGAACACGGCCUAAAGGUACUAAAAGUGUAAUAUUCCCCCCGGCUCAAAGUGUAACACGUGGCCGUGGACCAAGUUGAAAAGCGGGACAAGUUUCAGGCCCGAAUUUAAAGUAAAAAGACUUGAUUGUAAACGCACGAAAAAGCGGAGGGGCCAAAAGCGCAAAUAACCCCUUCGCUUCAAAAACACGCGGAUCCCAGGUCGACGGGUCGGGUCAGCCCGCUCCACCCCUAAACGGUGCCGUUUUGCACCUUAGGGGGGGGGGGAAGGGCCAAAACGGUACCGUUCGGUACCCUUAUAUAAGUCAAACAUUUAUUUUUUUUAUUUCCUUCUUGCUUUUAAAAGAAAACUUCUCUUCUCUUCUUUUUCUCUGCAGGUGCCCUAGGUCCAGCCAGCACUCCUCGCCGUCCGUCGCGCCCUCCGCGCCGGUGCCGUCGCCGGCUACCGCACGCGGUGGCCGGAGUUUUAAAAAAAGGGUAUAUUUCUUCUUAUUUUUAUUAUUAUUUUUGUUUAUAAUAUAUGUAUAUAUGCGAAUAAAAGGGCGUGGAAAAUAGAAAAGAAAGAAAAAUGAAACAAAUUGAAAGAAAAUGAAAUCACCUUUGUUCCUCUGAUCUCUGAUUCUAUGUUUUCGUUUCUUCUUUUAAUGUUUUUCUCUUGAUUGGAUUUUUUUUUGCCUUUGACUUACUGAUUUUUGUGUUUUAAAAUCAAGUGCUUCUUUUUUUAUUUCUCACCAAAAAAAACCGAAUCCUUUUUACAUUUUCGUUUUUGGUUUAUAUAUUUGUGCACACUGCCCCUUUUUGCUUUCUGUCUUCUCUUUUUUAAUGCUUGCAGGUGAAUGGCGGUGGACUUGACCUGUCGGUGGGAGCAGAGGCGGUGGUGGAUGGGACAGGGAGCAAGUGGCUGAAAUAGCUUAGGGUUUUCUUAGCUUUUUUUUCUUUUGUUUUGUGUUUGGGUUGGGCUAGGGUUUUGAUUUGUUUGGGCUAAGGAUUGUGGUUUAAGCUGGGUAUUAAGUUUGGGGUUAUUUUAAUUUCGGGCCCAAAAUUGGGCUGUACAAUAAUAACACGACAUCGUCACACGAUCUGUCUUUCUUAUUCUUAUUCUUUUAGACAAAAUCAAGUUGAAGAUGGGAUGUGCAGAGUUUGUUAUUUGGAAGUUGAUACAAGCUACGGCAGUUACCGUUGUUCUACUUCUGAUUGCAAUUAUAUUGCUCAUGCACGUUGUGCAACUGAUAAAGCAAUUUGGGAUGGAACAAUUAUGCUUGAAGGCUAUGAUGAGAGGUCCGAGGUAGUGGUGGAUGAACCUUGGAAUUUGAUUACUGAUGUUGUUGAACAAAUUCGUAUUGGAGAGCUAAUGGUAGCAAGUGAGAUCAAGCAUUCCCAUCAUGAUCAUAAUUUAAGACUCACUUUUAGUGGGAAGACCAAAGAUGAUGAUAGUCAGUGUGAUGGGUGCACGGGACCUAUAUCAACUCCUUUUUAUAGUUGUGAGCAAUGCAAGUUCUUUCUCCACAAAGAUUGCGCUGAAUUGCCUAAACAAAUGCCACACCCAUUUCACAAGCAUUUGCUUGCUCUCUCAAACUCACACGAUAUGUUUGGUUAUUCAUGUUGCAAUGCUUGCGGUCGUUGGUAUCAAGGAUUUAGCUACAGAUGCUACGAAGGAAAUUGCAGCUUCGAAAUUGACAUUCAAUGUAUAUUAUUGUUAGACACCUUGAAGCACCCAAGUCAUGAGCAUUCACUCUUUCUUGUCCACAACAACGAGGGAACUAGUUGCAGUGUUUGUUUCGAAACACUAGGGUAUGUUGCAUAUAGAUGCAUGAAGCGCUGUGAUUUCAAUUUAGAUGUACAUUGUGCAACACUACCACUUACUGCUUGGUACAAGUAUGAUAGGCAUCCUCUUACUUUGACUCAUUUUGAUGAUUUUGAGCCUUAUCAAUAUUACUACGAUCUCUGUGAGAAAGAAAGAGAGCGAAAUCGUUGGUUUUACUAUUGUGUUGAUUGUGAUAACUCUCUUCAUCUCAAUUAUGCUAUUGGGGAUCUCCCAUAUGUGAAGUUUGGGAACGAAAUCAAAAGUUUUCAUAAGCAUCCACUUACUAUUGUGAAAAACAUCUGGAAUUGCCCUUCAUGUAAGGUAUGUCGUGAGGUUUGUAAUGGGCAGGCCCUAGAAUGUAAAAAAUCUGAAUGCAACUUUAUGGUCCACUCGGGUUGCCGUUGGGGUCUCUAGUGAAGCAUUUUAACAAUAUUCCGUCAAGUUUAAGAAACAGAGAAGGCACAAGAUAAGAUGUGUAUAGUGUUCUGUGGAAGGGUGUAGCAGAUUUGGUAAAAAUGGGUGAUGGCCUUAGUUGUUGUAAUUUGCAUUAUGUUAUGUUUACGAUAGUUGUUUGAGCAGUAUAAGAUUGUGUUAGAUAAAACAUGAUUUGUAAGCACAUAUCUUUAUCUUUCACUUUUCUUAUCUGCUUGUUAUUCUUUCAACUUUUAUCUAAAAUUAUUAAUGAGAACGAAGAAUUGCUUUCUAGCUUGUCAUAAUAAAAUAUUUUUAUUAUCAGAACGAUAAAAAUACUAAAAUAAUAAAAAUAAUGUUGAGUUUGGAAAUUUAAAUACAAAAUCAUUCUUCCACUCACAAUUGCAUAAAAAAUUAUGUGUGAUUGUUAAGACCAAAACAUAAGCGGAUUUGGUAUACCUUAUUAUUUUUGCACAGUGAAAAUGUAAGCAGGCAUACAAAAUAAAAGUUUAUAUAUGUUUUAGCUUUGUACAAGUCCAAUUUGCAGGCCCAACUAACCCAACUAAAGCCCAACCUAAAACAGGCCCAAAUAACCCCAGAACCCAAUCAAGACCUAAUGCCUAACCCUAGCCCAGUUAGCCCACUACCCAAAAUCAGAAAAAUAAUAAACAAACCCUAGGUGCACCGCACCUAGGGACCUUUGACCAGCCAACACCUGCAGCACCGCCAUUGUAACACCCCUUACCCGAGACCGUUUUCGGAGUCGAGCACGAGGCAUUACUUAGCUUAUCUUACCAAUUCGGAGCAUAAAAACAAGGUUUGAAAAUUUAUUUCAUUAUUCGCAGCAAAUCUGUCCAAUCACGCAGCAGUUACUAAAUUAAUUAUAACUUGAGCUACAGAACUCGAAAUUUAAUUCCGUAAAUUUUCCCUGAAACUAGACUCAUAUAUAUACUCACCAUAAAAUUUUUAAAAUUUUUGGUUCAGCAAAUUAGUACAGUUUAUUAGUUAAAGUCUCCCCUGUUUCACCACCUGACUGCCCUGACCUCUAGUCACUAAAAAUAAGUUUUCUCACUGUAGGAUUUUCAUAUGAAGUUCUUACUUGUUUCUAAAGAAAAUAGACUCAUUAAGGAAUCUAAGCAUGUAAAUUUCAACUCAUAAACAUUUUUGUACAAUUUGUAAUUAUUUUCUAAACUCAGAAUAGGGGACUCCAAAAACAGUUCUGACCCUAUCUUACUAAAAUUCACAUAUCUUAAAAUAUAAAUUUCUUUUUUCUACACCGUUAUUUUUCCAUGAAAAUAGACUCAACAAGCUUUAAUUCCAUAUAUCAUUCACCCUCUAAUUCAUUUUAUACUAUCUUGGGUGAUUUUUCAAAUUCACGUCACUGUACUGCCUGAAUUCUGUUUCUUUGCAAAAUUUUAUCCUUUCAUGAUUUCCAUGCAUAAUUUAUCACCUAAUCUUUCAUAACAACAAACACCUUCAUCCUUAACCAUUUUAAUAACCAUACAUCAUCAAAUACUUACACAUCACUCAUUAGCAAAAUCAUCAUUACAAACAUACAAAAUAACUAAAUCCCUAUACAUGCCAUAACUCAAACGUGUUUCGAUAUAAAAUACCGAGCAGUUGUAGUUGUUAGUGUGGACGAUCUCCGACUUCUUUAGGAUCCUUGAAGUAGCUUUGCAAUACUAUAAGAGAAAGAGAAAUAAAAGAAGUAAGCAUAAAGCUUAGUAAGUUUACUAGCAAAUAAAUAACAAUAUUUAACUUAAAUAAUUAAACUCAAUGUCUAUAUCUCUAGUUUACUCUUUAGUUAAUCUUAUACUAGUUCUCUUACUUGUUUACUUAGAAUACUUGUGUGCAUAACUUACUCAAUCCUUGCUGCAUCGUUGAACAUCAAUUGAUAGUAUAAUAAGUUCUUAAGUCUUACAACUUACCUGGGCUUGCCAUUUAUGCUUUAAACUGAACUUCCAUGAACAUGAUUCGUUUACAAGCCCGUUGAGCUACAUUGGAAUAAUAAGGAUACUCGGGUCUCUUCUGAUAAUAACAUGCCAAAGCCAUGUCCCAGACAUGGUCUUACAUGGGAUGUUCUCGUGAUGGUGCCCAUGCCAUGUCCCAGACAUGGUCUUAUAGGGGACCUCUCAUAUCGGUGCCAACGCCAUGUCCCAGACAUGGUCUUACAUGGGACCUCUCGUCUCGGUGCCCAUGCCAUGUCCCAGACAUGGUCUUACAGGGGACCUCUCAUGAUCUUAAGGAUGCCAAUGCCAUGUCCCAGACAUGGUCUUACAUGGGAUCUCUUUACCCAAAUGUCAUGACAUUCGUAUCCAGUACCAUCCUUAUGUAUCAACGGGACUUUUAAAUUUUAAUUCUCUAUCAUUUCAUGCUUGGAUCAUCAUCAAAUAAAUUCAUAAAAUAAAUUCAUAAUUGCUGGAAAUUAACAGCAUUAAUAAUAAAUAUUGAAAUAUUGCAUUUAUUUACCGUAAACUUACCUCGGUACCAAUUAUAGCCAAAUUCACCAACUUAGUCUUCAACUUUAUUCUUCCCUUUGUCUAACCUCGAGUUUCGUACUUCUUGAUCUAAAAUAGUAAAUUUAACUUAUUUAAUAAUCACAUUCAUCAAAACAGCCCUCGACUCUAAAUUUUUCAAAAUUACAAUUUUGCCCCUAAACUUUUACAUAAUUACAUUUUUGCCCCAAGGCUCGGAAAUUAAACUUCAUCUCUUAUUCUUAUGUUUUAUAACAUUCUGAACAUUUUUCCCUUCUAUGGAAACAUCAAAUUCCCACUCUAACAUGUACUUAUGAACAUUAGGUAUUUUUACCGAUUAUGUCGUUUUACUCGUUUUCACUUAAAAUCGCUUAGCAAAAGUUGUUUAACAUAAUUUAUAGCUUCACAUUCUAUCAUAAAACAUCAAAAUAAAUACUUUUCACCUAUGGGUAUUUUUCCAAAUAUAAACCCUAGGUUAAAUUAUUGCUAGAAUAAGCUAAAUUAAGCUACCGGGAUCUCAAAAACGUAAAGAACAUUAAAAACGGGGCUUGGGAUCACUUACUAUAGAGCUUGGAAGCUUGAAAACCCUAACUAUGGCUUCCCCCCUUGCUGAUUUCGUUCAUAUGAAGAAGAUGAUGAUUUUUGCCAUCUUUUUCCCUUUUAAUUCAUUUUAAUUACUAGAUUACCAAAUUGCCCCUAACUUAAAAAUUUUCUAUUUCACUUAUCUCAUUUCCAUUUUUGUCUACCAAGUUACCAAUGGUAUAAUUACCAUAUAAGGACCUCCAAUUUAAAGUUUCAUAACAAUUGGACACCUCUAACAUGUAGAACUCAACUUUUGCACUUUUUACAAUUUAAUCCUUUUGACUAAAUUGAGUGCCCGAACGUCGAAAUUUUCGAACGAAAUUUUCAAAAAAUCAUUUUGUGAAAUUGUAGACCAUAAAAAUAUAAGAAAAAUAAAAUUUUUCUCAUCGGAUUUGUGGUCUCGAAACCACUGUUCCGAUAACCUCAAAUUUGGGCCAUUACAACUCUCCCCCCCCUUUUUAGGAUUUUCGUCCUCGAAAAUCUUUCUAGUAAAGAGAUUUGGGUAUUGCUUCCUCAUUGUCUCUUCCGGUUCCCAUGUUGCUUCCUCAAUCCCGUGCUUUUGCCAUAGCACUUUCACCAGAUUUACCUUUUUGUUUCUAAGCUCCUUUGUUUCUCGUGCUAAUACUUUAACCGGUUCUUCAUUAUAAGUCAUAUCCGGCUGAAUUUCUACUUCUGUUGGAGUAAUAACAUGUGAAGGAUCUGAUCGAUACCGUCGUAGCAUAGAUACAUGAAAUACAUUAUGAAUUUUGUCGAGUUCCGGUGGUAAAGCCAAUCGGUAAGCAACUGGUCCAAUUCUUUCUAUAAUCUCAUAUGGUCCGAUAAAUCUUGGACUCAAUUUACCCUUUCGACCGAACCGGAGAACUUUCUUCCAAGGAGACACUUUUAAGAAUAUUUUAUCACCCACCUGAAAUUCAAUCUCCCUUCGUUUAAGAUCGGCGUAUGACUUUUGACGAUCGGAAGCUGCUUUAAAACUAUCCCGAAUCAGUCUUACUUUUUCUUCUGUUUCCCGAAUCAAAUCAACCCCGUGUAUCUUCUUUUCACUGAGCUCUGUCCAAUAUAAUGGUGUUCUACAUUUUCUACCAUACAAAGCUUCAUACGGAGCCAUUUUAAUACUGGACUGAUAACUGUUAUUAUAAGCAAAUUCAAUCAAAGGUAGAUACCUUUCCCAAUUACCUUGAAACUCUAAUGCACAACAUCGGAGCAUAUCUUCCAAUACCUGAAUUACACACUCAGAUUGGCCAUCUGUCUGAGGAUGAAAUGCAGUACUGAAAUACAACUGAGUACCCAAAGCUUCUUGCAAUUUGUUCCAGAAACAAGACGUAAAUCGGGGAUCUCUGUCUGAUAUAAUGGAGACAGGCACUCCAUGUAGUCUAACAAUCUCAGAUAUAUACAAUCCAGCCAAUUUAUCUAAAGAAUAAUCCAUACAUACUGGGAUAAAGUGCGCGGACUUUGUCAAUCGGUCGACAAUUACCCAAAUGGCAUCUUUCUUCCUCGGAGAUAACGGUAACCCAAAUACAAAAUCCAUAGUGAUUCUUUCCCAUUUCCAUUCUGGUAUAGUGAUUGGCUGAAGCAACCCCGAAGGUACCUGAUGUUCAGCCUUAACCUGCUGACAUACUAAACAUCUUGAUACAAACUCAGAGAUAUCACGUUUCAUACCCGGCCACCAAUACAUCUUUUUCAAGUCAUUAUACAUUUUAUUACCUCCCGGAUGUACGGACAUAAUACCACUGUGUGCUUCGUGUAAAAUCUUCUGUACAAGUUCUGAAUUCUUCGGUACACAUACUCUGCCUCUGAAUAAUAAACAACCAUCAGUUCCAAUCUGAAAUUCUGAAUCAUUACCUGACUCACAAUGCACCCGUUUAGCCUGUAAUUUCUCAUCAUUCCUCUGAGCUUCACAUAUUUGUUGACGAAAUGUCGAUUUAGCUCUCAAUUCAGCUAUGAUUGAACCAUCAUUAGACAGUGACAACCGGGUAUUCAUAGCUCGUAAAGCAAAUAGAGAUUUUCGGCUCAAAGCAUCAGCUACCACGUUAGCCUUACCCGGAUGGUAAUCAAUAACCAAAUCAUAAUCCUUUAUCAAUUCAAGCCACCUGCGUUGUCUCAAAUUCAAAUCUUUCUGUGUCAUCAAAUAUUUCAAGCUUUUGUGAUCAGUAUAAAUAUGACACUUUUCACCAUACAAAUAAUGCCGCCAUAUUUUCAAUGCAAAUACAAUAGCAGCUAACUCGAGAUCAUGUACCGGGUAGUUUCUUUCAUGUGGCUUAAGUUGUCUUGAAGCAUAGGCUAUUACUUUAUCUUCUUGCAUCAAGACACAACCCAAACCAUUUAAUGAUGCAUCACUAUAAAUAAUAAAUUCCUUACCCGAUUCAGGCUGUACCAACACAGGUGCUUUCGUUAACAACUCCUUCAAUCGGUCGAAACUUUGCUGGCAUUUUUCUAUCCAUUCAAAUUUAACAUCUUUCUGUAAUAAACGGGUCAUUGGAGAAGCUAUCAUAGAAAACCCUUGUACAAAUCUCCGAUAAUAACCAGCUAAACCCAAGAAACUUCUAACUUCAGAUACAUUCUUCGGUGGACUCCAAUUGACAAUAGCUGAAAUUUUACUCGGAUCUACCCUGAUGCCUUCUGCGGAUACAAUAUGUCCGAGAAAACCUACCUCUCGAAGCCAAAAUUCACAUUUACUGAAUUUAGCAUAAAGUUUCUUUUCACGCAGAAUUUGCAACACUAUUUUCAAAUGUUCUGCAUGCUCAGUUUCAUCCUGAGAAUAAACUAAAAUGUCAUCAAUAAAAACUACUACAAACCUAUCUAGAUACGGUCUGAAUAUCCGGUUCAUCAAAUCCAUGAAUACUGCAGGUGCAUUAGUCAACCCAAACGGCAUAACCAGAAACUCAUAAUGCCCAUACCUGGUUCUGAAAGCUGUCUUUGGCACAUCUGGCUCUUUUACCCGUAACUGAUAAUAACCCGAUCGGAGAUCAAUCUUUGAAAAUACUGUGGCACCUUUCAGUUGAUCAAAUAAGUCGUCAAUUCGAGGCAAUGGGUACUUAUUCUUUAUAGUUACCUUAUUAAGCUGCCGAUAGUCAAUACACAAUCUCAAAGACCCGUCUUUCUUUUUCACAAACAGAACUGGAGCACCCCAAGGUGAAUGACUCGGACGAACAAAACCUCUGUCAACAAGUUCCUGUAACUGUGCCUUUAACUCUUUUAAUUCUGUAGGAGCCAUACGAUACGGAGCUAUGGAAAUUGGGGCAGUUCCCGGAAUCAGAUCUAUAGAAAAUUCCACUUCUCUUUCUGGUGGCAACCCUGGUAACUCCUCUGGAAAUACAUCAGAAAAUUCACAUACAACUGGCACUGCCUGUAUCUUUGACUCAGAUACCUUAGUAUCCAACACAUACGCCAAAUAAACAUCAUUCCCUUUUCUAACACACCUCUGAGCUGUCAUAACUGAAAUCAUAUCGGAUAAUCCCUCUGUCUGAUUAGAUUUAACCCAAAGUAAUUCUCCAUUCUGGCAUUUCAACACAACAUAUUUUUGUCUACAGUUUACUACUGCAUCAUGCUGAGUUAACCAAUCCAUGCCCAAUAUCACAUCAAACUCAUCAAAAGGCAAUAACAUCAAGUCAACCGGGAAACAAAUACCUUUUACCAUCAGUGGACAAUUUUUACAAACUUUAUCCACUAUCACAAACUGGCCCAGGGGGUUCGAGACUUUAACUAUAAAUUCAGUAGGUUCAACAGACAAAUUUUUAACAAAUGCUAAUUUUGUGCAUAUAUAUGAAUGUGUAGAGCCAGGAUCAAUUAAUGCAAUAACAGUAGUAUCAUAGAGAGAAAAUGUACCCGCAAUUACAUCAAGAGAGGACGCCUCUUCACGAGCUCGAAUAGCAUAUGAUCUUGCAGGUGCUCUAACAUCUGAUCUAACCGCUGAAUCUUUGAAUGCACCCCUAUUACUUGCCCCCACUCCUGGGUUUCUCUGCAGUCUACCUCUGGUAGGAGCAUUACCUGAUCUCGCACUCGUUAUUUCUUCUCUUUUAGUUGCUUCAGGACAAUCCCGAAUAAAGUGAUCGGAUGCUCCACAUCUGAAGCAAACAUUUUCACCUGCUCUACACUCUCCGAGGUGGCGUCUCCCACAUUGAGGACAUUCCGGUCUAGGAGGUCGAGUACUGCCAGUACUUGCAACUGUAGUGGUUUGAGCUCUAAAACCCUCGAAUCUUCUACUUCUGCUUCGGCCAGAAUAUAUAUGUGGAAAAUGUGAUCCGCUAGAGAGCUCCCUAGGCCUCUUAGAUGUAGACUGAAAUGAUUUACUCAUUUGUCUCUUCUUUGUAUCCUGCGCUCCAGCUUCAGCUUUGCUCUUCUCUUUUUCUUUUAACAAGUCUUCUACUUUACAAGCUCUUUCUACCAGAACAACAAACUCUCUGAUUUCCAAUACACCCACUGAUAGUCGGAUGUCAUCAUUAAGCCCAUCUUCAAAUCUCUUGCACAUGUUGGCUUCGGUGGAUACAAAUUCCCGAGCAUACUUACUAAGUCUGACAAAUUCGCGUUCAUAUUCAGUCACGGACAUCUUACCUUGUUUUAGCUCAAGAAACUCCUUCCUUUUCUGCUCUGUAAAUCUCUGGCUGAUGUACUUCUUUCGAAACUCCUCCUGAAAGAAAUCCCAAGUAACCCUCUCACUCGGUACGAUAGACACGAGAGUCUUCCACCAAUGAUAAGCGGAAUCUCUGAGAAGUGAGACCACACACUUCAUACAUUCUUCCGGUGUACAAGAUAAUUCUUCAAAAACCCUGAUAGUAUUCUCAAGCCAGAAUUCUGUUUUUUCUGCAUCGUCAUCUUUGGUAGCCCGAAAUUCUUCAGCCUCUUGCUUCCUAAUCUUAUCAAUAGGUGGUCUCUCCCUGAUAAAUAUACCUGCAGUUGGGGAAGCUACAUGGGGAACCUGUGAAUCUUGAGGGGGUGGAGGUCUUACAGCCGGAUUCGUACGAACGAACUCGGCAAACCAAUCAGUCAUGGCUUGGAAGAAGGCUUCUCUAGCUCCUCCUCCCUGUCUAUCUGAUGCAGGUCUUUCACUAACAUUAACAUCUGAUGGCACUGUCCCUUCUGCGGGAAUAGGCGCAUUACUCUCUACUUCAUCUGUACUAGCUCGUUCAGGAUCCAUAACUAUAAAAGAAAACAUUUUAAAAUCGUCAGGAGUCGUCACACUAUCAAAAUAUAUAAGUAUGGCAUGUAUAGGUAGACUCUUAUUCUUAGAUUAAAACAUGUUCUUAUCACCCCUAAACACCACCAGUCAAAAUCAUAUCUUACUCAAGUUCAAAAAACCUCCUAGUUGAAGAGAAGACAAUCGAAAUCAUCCUUAACCCACAGAUCCUUAUUCAACAUCGAUCAAGAGGACAUUGAACAUGAUUCCAUGAUAAGCUUGUUAAAAUCCGUCAAGAAAGAAAAGGUGGAUCAGUAGCAUUCAACAGUGUUCCUCAUCAGCUAUGGCCGUCGAUGAUGAACCUCAGACCCCUCAGCCGUUUGAGUUCACAUCCUGAUUUCACUUGGAUUUCGUUUUGACAAUAGUUUUUAGAGACGACUGGUGUUUGGUCACAUUGCAGAUCUUGGACCUCAACCAGUUACAUUCGUUCUAAUGUUUUUUUCUAUUUUUAGGGGAAAUAUUGUCAUAUACAUGCUCAACCAUUAUUCACCAUUUAAUUUAAGCUGAAAAGUGCCACAUUAGAUUUUGUUGCCUAAUUUCUUUUUUAAAUGUUGAUAUGCAUGAAUAUAUUGAAUAUACACUAGAAAUAUAAAAUUAAAAUUAAUUAUAAUUUUAUUUAUAAUUAAGUUAAAUAAAUUAUAAGAAAUAUAAACUAUAAAGCAAAUUGAAACAAAUAUAUAGUAAAAUUUUGAACUGAAAAUAUAUAUUUUAAACUUAAAUAGUAAACUGUUAAACUUAAAAUAUAUUAUUAAGUAAAGACACAUUUUAAUAAGAUUGAUUAAAGUAAAUUUAUAUAUAUAUAUUUCAAUUUCUUAAUUAACUUAAAAAAAUAUUAUAUUCAGGAUUAGAUUUAAUUAAUUUAAUUAAAAUUGAAUGUUUCAUAUUCUUAUCCUUAGAAUGGAAAUGCUUGGGUUAUUAUGGGAAAAGAAAUAUCGACAAAUACUCUAACAAGUCAACGACGAAAAUGACUCUUCUCUUUAAGGAGUAAAGCAUGACCUAAGAAAGUAUACCACAAAGGCUGGAGUAAAGUGAAGCAAACUCAAGGGUUUUCUUGUAAUGGAUGUGAGUGAGUGUGAGAGUAGUACAGAGGGGGAGACCAUGGAACUUCAACAUUUCAGCCAUCAACAUCCUUUGGUCUUCUUCAAAUAUCAGCAGACUGUUGCAAGCGAAGAAGUAGAUCCAGAAGCAGCUCUUUGCCGUGGGUGUGAGAAACCUGUAGAGGGCUGGAGCUAUGGCUGCAAUCAAUGUGAGUUUUAUCUUCAUAAGGGAUGUGCUGAGUUAGAGUUAGCCCCCCAGAUUCAGCAUCCUUUCCACCCCAAACACCCUCUAACUCUUUUGCCAGAAUCACUUUAUUCUGGGGGGUGCGAUUUCUGUGGUAAGGCAUUUCGGGGAUUUGUUUAUAAUUGUUAUGAUUGUAAGUUCGAUCUGCACAUCAAUUGUGCUUUGCUUCAAUCAUCCGUUGCUGCAAAUUUUCCUAAUUCUUUGCACCCCCAUCCAUUGUUCUUCAUUCAAAACCAUAACAACGAAGUCGAUUCUGAUUGCCCCGGGUGUCAAAAACCAAUAUCUGGUCCAUUUUACCACUGUUCUGAUUGCUCGUAUCCUACAUUCUUUAACCUCCAUAAGGAAUGUGCUGAACUACCCCUUGAGAUUAAUCACCCCUGUGACCGUAAGCAUCCUCUUACUCUCUUGCCACAACCGCCUACUCAUCCCCAGAAAUGUAGUUGCUCUAUGUGCAGAAUCCAAUGGAAGGGGUUUGUUUAUUCCUGCUCUCUUUGCAACUUUGAUCUUUCACUUGAUGAUUUUCUUUUUUCACCACCAACAAUCACAGUUCCAAGUCAUGAACACCCGUGGAUGCUUGUAUCUAGAAAAAUGUCGUUUGUUUGUGAUUUUUGUGGCACUGACGGAGAUCACUCCCCCUAUUUCUGUGCUACAUGUGUACUUUUUGUCCACAAAAAUUGCAUUUCAUUGCCACGCCACAUCAUGAUAACACGACAUCGUCACACGAUAUCUCUUUCUUAUUCUUUUAGACAAAAUCAAGUUGACGAUGGGAUGUGCAGAGUUUGUUAUUUGAAAGUUGAUACAAGCUACGGCAGUUACCGUUGUUCUGCUUCUGAUUGCAAUUAUAUUGCUCAUGCACUUUGUGCAACUGAUAAAGCAAUUUGGGAUGGAACAAUUAUGCUUGAAGGCUAUGAUGAGAGGUCCGAGGAAGUGGUGCAUGAACCUUGGAAUUUGAUUACUGAUGUUGUUGAACAAAUUAGUAUUGGAGAGCUAAUGGUAGCAAGUGAGAUCAAGCAUUCCUAUCAUGAGCAUAAUUUAAGACUCACUUUUAGUGGGAAGACCAAAGAUGAUGAUAGUCAGUGUGAUGGGUGCACGAGACCUAUAUCAACUCCUUUUUAUAGUUGUGAGCAAUGCAAGUUCUUUCUCCACAAAGAUUGCGCUGAAUUGCCUAAAAAAAUGCCACACCCAUUUCACAGGCAUUUGCUUACUCUCACAAACUCAAACGAUGAGGAAGGUAAUUCAUGGUGCUGUGCUUGCGAUCGUUACUAUCAAGGAUUUAGCUAUAGAUGCAACAAAGGAAAUUGCCUCUUCAGAAUUGACAUUCAAUGUAUGUUAUUUUCGGACACCUUGAAGCACCCAAGUCAUGAGCAUUCACUCUUUCUUGUCCACAACAAGAAGGGAACGAGUUGCAGUGCUUGUCUCAAAACACUGUACUCAGGGGAUGUUGCAUAUAGAUGCAUGAAGCGCUGUGAUUUCAGUUUAGAUAUAGGUUGUGCAACACUACCACUCACUGCUUGGUACAAGUAUGAUAGGCAUCCUCUUACUUUGACUUAUUCUGAUGAUUCUGAGCCUUCUCAAUAUUACUGCGAUCUCUGUGAGAAAGAAAGAGAGCCAAAUCAUUGGUUUUACUACUGUGCUGAUUGUGAUAACUCUCUUCAUCUCAAUUGUGCUAUUGGGGAUCUCCCAUAUAUGAAGCUUGGGAACAAAGUUAAAUUUUAUGUUCAUAAACAUCCAUUUACUAUUGUGAAAAACAUUUGGAAUUGCCCUCCAUGUAAAGUAUGUCGUGAGGUUUGCAAUGGGCAGGCCCUAGAAUGUAAAGAAUCUGAAUGCAACUUUAUUGUCCACUGGGAUUGCCUGGAUUGCCUUUGGGGCCUAAGUAGAGCAUUUGAAUGAUAUUCCAGUCAAGUUUAAGAAGCAGAGAAGGCACAAGAGGAGAUGUGUGUUGUGUUCUGUGUAAGGGUGUAGGAGAUUUGGUAAAAAUGGGUGAUGGCCUUAGUUGUUGUAAUCUGCAUUAAAUUAUGUUUAUGAUAGUUGUUUGAGUAGUAGAAGGUUUUGUUAGAUGAAGCAUGAUUUGUAACCACACAUUUUUAUCUUUCAUUUUUCUAUUUGAUUCUUAUCCUUUCAACUUUUAUCUAAAAUUACUGAUGAGAUUGAAGAAUUGGUUUCUAGUUUGUCAUAAGAAAAUAUUUUUAUUAUCUGAACCAUAAAAAUACUAAAAUAAUGAACAUAAUGUUGAGUUUCGAAAUAUAAAUAGAAAAAUCAUUCCUCCAUUCAUAAAAAUUGGGAGUGAUUGUUAAGACUAUGAAAUGUAUAAAUGAUUUCUCAAUUUUUUUAUUAUCUAAAAAUAUUAAAUUUAGCAUUUGAAGAUCAAAACAUAAUCAAAUUUGGUAUAUUUAUAAAUGUUUAUUUACUUAUUUAUUAUUUUUGCAAAGUGGAAAUGUAUGAGGUUCUGUGACAUAGAUCAAUCAAGACUUUGUGACCUUAAAUCAACCAGCCAUAAAAAAAAAGUAUAUAUAUAUUUUAGCUUUACAAUUUAGGUUAAUUUUAUUUCACUUAAUUAGUAAUUAUUUGUACUCCAUAUUCAAAAUAUUGUUAUUAUGCCUAAAUUCUAGAAAAGAAAUUUUUCUUUAUUUUAGAUCUUUUUUUAAAUUUUUUGAAUUUUCCAUUAGAUUUUAUUGUAAUUUCAUUUCAAAGAUAAAUUAACACUUUCUACAACUUAGGGAAAAGAAUAAAGUCAAUUUAGGCAAAAAGUCUUUUUUUUUUCCCUCAAAAUACUAAGAAAAAAUCCUUUUCUUUUAUUUCGCUUUUUAAUUUUUAUUUUUAUCAAAUUAUCCAGAAUUAGGUGAAAAAAGUUAACGAGCCGUUAAUUUAGAUGAUGUGAAUGAUUAAUGUUUACGUGACAUUCAUGACAAUUCACGUAUGUCACGUCAGUAAAAAUUAAUUAUUUUUAUAAAAUUAAAAAAUAUAUUAAAUAUUAAAACUUAACAUCUGACUUUUUUUUAAUUACUAUUUUUAAAAUUUCAAAUUCUUAAAUAAUUUAAUAUUAAGCUGCCAAUUUUAAAAUAUUAAUAAAUUAAACUAAACACUUUUUCCAUUAAUAAAAAACAUUUUCUUCCUUAUUCUUUUUAAAAAAAAUUUAAAUAAACUCUAAAAGGUACUUCAAUCUCUCGAACCUACAUUCAGAUCAUCUUAAGAUUCUAAACAUAGCCUAUUGCACUUACAAGUAGAAAAACAAAAGAAAAACGAGCUUUUAACUCAAAUGAGAGAACAUUAUUUUUAUUGAAUUGAUGAAUAAAUUCAUAUGGUUCUAGCCUUUUAUAGGUCUUAUAAUAGCUCAAAACUAAAAAUAACAAACUAAAUAUGAAAAAAUUUGAAAAUUUUAUUUAAGUUCUCUCAAACUUUUUAAAAAUUCUCAUUAAUUUUUUCAAAAUUUUUAAAAAAUUGUAAUCAAAAUUUUUAAAAGUUCUAAAAAUUCUUAUUAAGCCCCAAAAAUAUUUUAAAUCUUGAUUAAUCCCUCUCAAAAUUUAAUGUCAAAAUCCACCGUUGAUUCUAUAUAACAAAAAUACUAUUAUGCAAAAAUUCUAAAUUGAAUUCGGGGAAACUAUUUAAAAUUAAUUAGAUAACCUUUUGCGUAAUUUUUAUUUUUGAAUUAACUAUUCCAAAAUUAUUCCUCUCUAUUAUAUUUUUAUUAUCUGUUGAAGUCAAACAUAAUACUGGUUGAAGCGGACAUAACCACAAUGAGAAUGACCAAGUUCCAAAUUAUUGUAUUUUCAUACCAAAAUUCAAGUAUUGUGUAAUUUAUCUCCUCCAAAAUUGUAAUGAUAAAAGGAAUGAUAAUGGCAUAUUCAACCCCUAUACUUUAUCAAAAUAUCUAAUAUGGUAUCUUCACUUUUAAAAUAUCAAUUUUGAUACCUAAUCUUUAGAAUUUUUUUAGGAUUUAAAUUAUAUAAUUUUUGUUAUAAUUUUAUAAGGUACACAUAUUAUUUUUAUAUUACACUUUUUUUAGAAUUUAUAAUAUUAUUUUUUACCACAACGAUUUUAAAUACUCAUAUGUGUUUAUGCUUAUGAUGCAAUUUUUAUAACUUGUAAAGUAUAAUUUUUUAAAAUUAGAUUUUGGUGUAAUUAUAUGCGUAAUUAUUCUAAUUCUCAUCCUCCCUAGAAAUUGGAAAGUAUAAGUGGGGUGCUCCAAUUACAAUUAAUUUAGUGGGAACCACAAAUUAUAAUGCUUAUAAAAACAUGACAUUCUUAAGUAAUUACAAGUAAUUGCACCCAAAUCCAAUUAUGAGAUGACUUUCCAAACACUACCUCGGUAAAAAUUAGUGAUUGUUCAAAAAAGUUACUUGAAAGCUUUGCUUCUUGUUUUAAACUAGAGGUAUUCAUGGGUAGGGUGGCCUUGCCCGUAGAGGUGUUCAAUCGGUUAACCUACUCGAAAUAACAUUAACCAAAUUAACCGACCCUUCAAAAUUUUUAACCGUUAAUUGAAUCGAAAUUUUUUCAAAAAAAUUAACCGAACUGAAAUUUUUUCGGUUAAUUCGGUCGGUUAACCAAAUUAACCGAAAAUUAUAUGUAUUUUUAUUUUUGGUUAAAAUAAGUAUAAAAUUAACCGAAUUAACCGAAUUAAUCGAAUUAACCGAAUUACCCUAAUUAACCGAAUUGUUUGUAUAAAAUUAUAUAUUUUUUAUUUUUAUUUUUAGUUUUAGAUUUUUAUUUUUAUUUUUAUUUUUAUUUAUUAAUUAUUUGUAAUUUUUAUGAUUGGGUUCGGUAAUUGGGUUGGGUUGGGUACUUGGGUUAAUAUAUAUUAGAUUGGGUAUUUGGGUUUAUGUUGGAAUGAGUUUGAGUGAAUAGUGGGCUAUUUAUAUAUUAUAAUUUUAUUUAUUAAUUUUUUUGGUUAAACCUAAAAAAUUUGGUUAAUCGACCUAUUUCGAACCAAAUUAACUGUUAACCGGAAACUCAAAAAAUUAUUAACCGUCCCCCGACUGAAUUAAUUCGGUUAACCGACCGGUUAACUGAAUUCGGUCGAUUAACCGAAUUUUUUCUGUUUUACCCGAAUUUUGCACACCUUUACUUGCCCGAAAGCCUCCCUGAAAAGUGAGAUAGUUUAGGCAAAAAUAUAAGCCCGAAAUAGGUUAGGACAAAAAUUAAGGCUUGUUUAGAAAAUGAGUCAGACCUCGAGUAAGGUUUUUUUUAACCUGGGCCCAGCUCGAAAUUGAAAAAAAAAACCUCUUUUUCUUGUUUUUCAUUGUUUUGCUGUCAUUGCACUAAUUAUUGUUUGGAUAUUGUAUAUUUCUUAUUUUAUUGUCAAUUUUGCUACUAUUUUAUAGACAUUUGUUUGUUCAAAUGCACCUAUCUUAUUUUUAUUUAAGUAUAAAGAUUUUUAUUUUAAUCUAUUUUUAAUUUGUUGGGAAACAUUUAUUUUAAUGUUUUAAGUGUAUUUGGUGUAUUAUAUUUUUAAACAUUUUUAUAUAAAAAAAUUAAUACGGGUCGGCCAGACCAAACCUAUCAAUUGGGCUUAAAAAUUUGUUAAGGCCUGACCUGACCCGACCUAUAGACACCUCUAUUUUAAACCAUCUUCUUUGCUGAUUUAAGCUUAAGUAAAGGGAUAUGUUUAAGCGAGGAGAUAGAAAGAAAAAAAAAUCCAACAAAUAAAAUAAAAAAUCUUAAUUGCAAAGAGAAACAUAAUAUAAAGAAUAUAAAUAUCAAAUUCUUUAUAACUUGUUUAAAAAAUUUCGAAUCAACGUGAUGAAAAUAAAAUAAUAAUGACGUAUUCAACCCCUAUACUUUAUCAAAAUAUUUAAUAUGAUAUCUUUACUUUUAAAAUAUUAAUUUCAUUUAUUAUUGCGAUAUAUCCUUCUAAUGGAGUUAAAAUCUUACAUCACUUUGAAUGCUACCAAUUGUAUGCUGCCAUGUGGCACUAUUAGUUUGAAAAAUUUUAAUCAAAGUCAAGGGAUUUGAAAAUAAUUAUACCAAAAACUGUUUUAAAGGCCAAAAUAAGACCAACCCAAGCCCGGCACAAUUUAGCCCAUCAACUCAUCUACCCUAAACUUAAACUUUGCUCUCACACUACCCAAUUCAAUCUUCGCUUAUAAAAAUUGCUGUUUAAAUUAUGCAUGUUUUCUCAAACAGAUUUUAAACUUUUUUUUUUUUUUGUCAAUUUGAGUAUUUAAACUAAUUUUUUCUCGCAUUGGUACCCCCAUUAUUUAUCCUUUAGUUCGAUUCGGUGGAAUAAAAAUAAAAUAAAAAUUAGCUUUCGGAGAGAUGGCUGAGUGGUUGAUAGCUCCAGUCUUGAAAACCGAUAUAGUUUGAAACAAAGAACUAUUGAGGGUUCAAAUCCUUCUCUCUCCCUUUGCUAGAUGAAUAGAUAUCUUUCUUUAUUGCUUUUUCCUGGAUUCUUAAUUAAGAAUCUUAAUAUUAAUAAAAUUUAAAGACCCUAAAGUAGCAUGCGUCAUAUAUUUCACAGAACGUCGUUCUUGCCAAGGUUGUAUGUCUUUUUUCAACCUACUCAAGUCCAAACCAUUGGGACCUCUUAGAGGUUAUAACCAAGAAGCACGUAGAUCCCAAGAACACAUAGUUUCCCCUCCAAAAAUGACUUAUCUGGUCGAGGAACGUGUUAGAUAUUUACCUAACCCAGUAGGCCUUUGAGCGAAUCCCACGUUAGCCCCAAGACGUUGGUUUCUAACUAGAAAAGUAAAUGCUUGAGCUUGAGAAACUUUUGGUCUAGUGCGCCCGUAAAGCUAACUAGGUCAAUUGUUAGUCAAUCUCGAUCAAUGAUGAUGUGAUCCAAUCACCAAUCCAUAUCACAUAAACAAAUCACCUCGUUAUUUGUAUAAAAUAAUUCCAAAAUUAAAAAAUAGAGAAAUUAAAAUAAUUUUUUUGAUUUUAUAAAAAUAUAUAUAUUAGCGUUUAUUUUAAUAUUAAUUAAAAAAAUAGUAAAAAGUAUUUCCCCACCCCAUCUCUCAUGUCUAUUGGUGAUAGAACCACAUCAUCAUUGACCAAGGUUGAUUAACGACUAACUAACGAGGUACAAAUGUAAGAAAAAAAUAUAGUUUAGACACUCAAAUUGAUCAAAAAAGUGUUUAGGUACUUAUUUAAGCAAAUGAGUAUAUUUUAAAGGACAAUUUUGAUAUUAAGCCUUCAAUCUAUAAAUAGAUUUACUUAUUAUUUAUUUAAUUUAAUUUAAUAUGAUCUGAUUCAAAUUAAUUGUUAAAUACAUUUAAUGACUUAAAUUUUAGUCACACACAUGACAAACUUCUACAACAUAGCUUUUUAGUUCAAAUUGGUACUUUCAAAUAACUAAGUAUUAAUUUAGAUAAAAAAAAAACCAAAUUCAGGUAUCAAUUUGAAUAAUAAGCCAAGUUUAAGUACUUAAUCGGACCAAAAUACCAAAUUGAACUUUGAAGUCAUGUUUAAGUACCUAAUUGGAAAAAAAAAACUUUAGGUAUCAAUUUGAACUCUGAAGCUAAGUUCAGGUACCGAAAUGUAUAUUUCCCUUACUUUUCCAAUAACUGCUCUCAUUUUUAUCUACCAGAUCGGAGCAAACAUUCAUUAUUGACAGAAAACAAUAAUUCUAGUGAUUAUGUUGAGAGUAAAACUUAAUUUUCUGUCACCGACAAUCACAAUCCGUUUUACUAUUUUUUUUUACUUCCUAACAUUGCAUUAUUUCUCAAUUUUUAAUUCAUAAACGAUCAAGAAUACUUUUAAGAUUUCCUAUAAAAUUCUCUUUUUAUUUGCAAGGAAUCUACAACUCUGGCGGAAAUCAGGCACAUUGUCUUUGAUCGUAGGGUGUUUGCUGAAAUGCUUGACACAAGCAUGCAGGCGUGGGAAGCUAUCAGCUUUGAUAAACUUAAAUCCCACCACCUCUUCCAUAGCCGCCAACAUUUGAAUAACUAUUCCUAAAACGAGGUCAGCCAUGCCAAUUCCAUUAAAAAGAGGCCUAAGCUAAGCCACCAAGCAAAGAGGAAGAAGAAGAGAUGGUUUCAGGGUGAGGCAUGUGCGCCAAAACCCAAGAGGGUAGUGGUGGAUGCAAGGCAUCACAUGCUGGGAAGGUUGGCUUCCAUAUUGGCCAAGGAGUUGUUGAAUGGCCAAAAAGUAGUGGUGGUGAGAUGUGAAGAGAUAUGCAUGUGGGGUGGAUUGGUUAGCCAGAAGAUGAAUAUCAUGAGGUUUCUUAGGAAGCGUAUGAACACUAAGCCUUCUCAUGGUCUCAUCCAGUUUCCUGCUCCUCUAACAUCCUCUGGCGUACCAUUCGUGGGUGUGUUUUUCUUUUCGAGGUUCUUUUCCCUUGUAGUGUGGUUUCACAGUUCUUUAUUUGGUCUGUGAAUGAAAAGGAUGGAAAUUUCUGGGUUUUUGAUGCUUGGUAAUUUAGGAAGCCUUUAUUAUAAACUUUUUGAGAGAUUUUUUCUAUUGAUUUGAAGUUCUAUGAUUUGGAUAAUAUAUAUUGCAAAAGAACCAAAGGAAUCUGUGUGUUUUGUUAUGUUUGAUAUCAAACUUAAUAAUUACAGUUUGCUAUUGGUUUUUCUUAUUAGAGAUCCGUGUGUCUGUUAUGGUUGGUUAUUGGUAAAAUGUAGGGAAGAAGUGAAAGAGAGUAGAAUGAGUGUGCUUGAGGUUAUUAUUGUUGGAUUGAGAGAAAAGUAUUAGUUGACAAGGUCUAUGAAUCUUAUAUAUAUUAUUAAACUUAAAAUAGUAAAUUGUUAAACUUAAAAUAUAUUAUUAAGUAAAGACACAUUUUAAUAAGAUUGGUUAAAGUAAAUUUAUAUAUAUAUUUCAAUUUCUUAAUUAAUUUAAACAAAACUCAAUUAUAUUAAUACAUAAUUAAUUUAUUAAAAUUCAAUGUUCCAUAUUCUUAUCCUUGGGAUAGAAAUGCUUGGGGUAUUAUGGGAAAAGAAAAAUUGACAAAUAGUCUCACAAGUCAACGACGAAACUGAAUCUUCUCUUUAAGAUUUAAGAAGGGCAAAAGCACGACCUAAGAAAGUAUACCACAAGGUGUGGGGUAAAGUGAAGCAAACUCAAGGGUUUUCUUGUAAUGGAUAUGAGUGAGUGUGAGAGUAGGACAGUGGGGGAAACCAUGGAACUUCAACAUGUCACUCAUCCACAUCCUUUGGUCUUCUUCAAAUAUCAGACUGUUGCAGGCGAAGUAGACCCAGAAGCAGCUCUUUGCCUUGGGUGUGAGAAACCUGUAGAGGGCUGGAGCUAUGGCUGCAAUCAAUGUGAGUUUUAUCUUCAUAAGGGAUGUGCUGAGUUAGAGUUAGCCCCCCAGAUUCAGCAUCCUUUUCACCCCAAACACCCUCUCUCUCUUUUGCUAAAAUCACCUUAUUCUAGGGGGGGGGGGCGGAUUGUGCGAUUUUUGUGGUAAGGCAUUACGGGGAUUUGUUUAUAAUUGUUAUGAUUGUAAGUUCGAUCUGCACAUCAAUUGUGCUUUGCUUCAAUCAUCCAUUGCUGCAAAUUUUCCUAAUUCUUUGCACCCCAUCCAUUGUUCUUCAUUGAAAACCAUAACAACGAAGUCUAUUCUGAUUGCUCCGGGUAUCAAAAACCAAUAUCUGGUCAAUUUUACCACUGUUCUGAUUGCUCGUAUCCUACAUGCUUUAACCUCCAUAAGGAAUGUGCUGAACUACCCCUUGAGAUUAAUCACCCCUGUGACCGUAAGCAUCCUCUUACUCUCUUGCCACAAUCGCCUACUCAUCCCGAGAAAUGUUGUUGCUAUUUGUGCAGAAUCCAAUGGAAGGGGUUUGUUUAUUCCUGCUCUCUUUGCAACUUUGAUCUUUCACUUGAUGAUUUUUUUUCACCACCAACAAUCACAGUUGCAAGUCAUGAACACCCGUGGAUGCUUGUAUCUGGAAAAAUAUCGUUUGUAUGUGAUUUUUGUGGCACUGACGGAGACCACUCCCCAUUUAACUGCGCUACAUGUCAGCUCCUUGUCCACAAGAACUGCAUUUCAUUGCCACGCCACAUCAUGAUAACACGACAUCGUCACACGAUUUCUCUUUCUUAUUCUUUUAGACAAAAUCAAGUUGAAGAUGGGAUGUGCAGAGUUUGUUAUUUGAAAGUUGAUACAAGCUACGGCAGUUAUCGUUGUUCUGCUUCUGAUUGCAGUUAUAUUGCUCAUACACUUUGUGCAACUGAUAAAGCAAUUUGGGAUGGAACAAUUAUGCCGAAAGGCUAUGAUGAGAGGUCCGGGGAAGUGGUGCAUGGACCUUGGAAUUUGAUUACUGACGUUGUUGAACAAAUUAGUAUUGGAGAGCCAGUGGUAGCAAGUGAUAUAAAGCAUUCCUAUCAUGAUCAUAAUUUAAGACUCACUUUUAGUGGGAAGACCAAAGAUGAUGAUAGUUAGUGUGAUGGGUGCAUGAGACUUUUAUCAACUCCUUUUUAUAGUUGUGAGCAAUGCAAGUUCUUUCUCCACAAAGAUUGCGCUGAAUUGCCUAAACAAAUGCGAGACUCAUUUCACAAGCAUUUGCUUACUCUCUCAAACUCACACGAUGAGUAUGGUUAUUCAUGGUGCAAUGCUUGCAAUCGUCAGUAUCAAGGAUUUAGCUACAGAUGCUACGAAGGAUAUUGCUACUUCGAAAUUGACAUUCAAUGUAUGUUCUUGUCAGACACCUUGGAGCACCCAAGUCAUGAGCAUUCACUCUUUCUUCUCCACAACAACAAGGGAAUGAGUUGCAGUGCUUGUUUCAAAACACUAGACUCAGGGGAUGUUGCAUAUAGAUGCAUGAAGCGCUGUGAUUUCAUUUUAGAUGUAGGUUGUGUAACACUACCACCCACUGCUUGGAACAAGUAUGACAGGCAUCCUCUUACUUUGACUUAUUUUGAUGAGUCUGACUCUUCUCAACUUUGCUGCAAUCUCUGCGAGAAAGAAAGAGAGCCAAAUCGCUGGUUUUACUAUUGUGCUGAUUGUGAUAACUCUCUUCAUCUCAAUUGUGCUAUUGGGGAUCUCCCAUAUAUGAAGUUUGGGAACAAAUUCAAAUAUUAUCAUCAUAAGGACUGUGCUGAGUUAGAGUUAGCCCCCCAGAUUGAGCAUCCUUUCCACCCCAAACACCCUCUCACUCUUUUGCCAGAAUCACCUUAUUUUGGGGUCGCAAGCUGGUGCAAUUUGUGUGGUAAGAAAGUUCGGGGAUUUGUUUAUAAUUGUUAUGAUUGUAAGUUCGAUCUGCACAUCAAUUGUGCUUUGCUUCAAUCAUCCAUUGCUGCUAAUUUUACUAGUUCUUUGCACCCCCAUCCAUUGUUCUUCAUUCAAAACCAUAACAACGAAGUCGAUUCUGAUUGCUCUGGGUGUCAGAAACCAAUAUCUGGUCCAUUUUACCACUGUUCAGAUUGCACUUAUCCUAUAUUCCUUAACCUUCAUAAGGAAUGUGCUGAACUACCCUUUGAGAUUAAUCACCCAUGUGACCGUAAGCAUCCUCUUACUCUCUUGCCACAACCGCCUACUCAUCCCCAGAAAUGUAGUUGCUAUUUGUGCAGAAUCCAAUGGAAGGGGUUUGUUUAUUCCUGCUCUCUAUGCAACUUUGAUCUUUUACUUGAUGAUUUUCUUUUUUCACCACCAACAAUCACAGUUGCAAGUCAUGAACACCCGUGGGUGCUUGUAUCUAGAAAAAUAUCGUUUGUUUGUGAUUUUUGUGGCAAUGACGGGGAUCACUCCCCUUAUCACUGUGAUAAAUGUGUACUUUUUGUCCACAAGAAUUGCAUUUCAUUGCCACGCCACUUCAGGAUAACACGACAUCAUCACACGAUUUCUCUUUGGUAUUCUUUUCAGCAGAAUCAAAUUGAGGAUUGUAUGUGCCAAAUUUGUUACAAGGAAGUUGAUAUAAGCUAUGGUCAUUACCGUUGUCCUGCUUCUCGUUGCCGUUAUAUUGCUCAUGUACGUUGUGCAACUGAUAGAGCAAUUUGGGAUGGAACAAUUAUGCUGGAAGGCUAUGAUGAGAGGUCCGAGGAAGUGGCGCAUGAACCUUGGAAUUUGAUUACUGAUGUUGUCGAACAAAUUCGUAUUGGAGAGCUAAUGGUAGCAAGUGAGAUCAAGCAUUCCUAUCAUGAUCAUAAUUUAAGACUCACUUUUAGUGGGAAGACCAAAGAUGAUGAUAGUCAGUGUGAUGGGUGCACGAGACCUAUAUCAACUCCUUUUUAUAGUUGUGAGCAAUGCAAGUUCUUUCUCCACAAAGAUUGCGCUGAAUUGCCUAAACAAAUGCCACACUCAUUUCACAGGCAUUUGCUUACUCUCACAAACUCACACGAUGAGUAUGAUCAUUCAUGGUGCCGUGCUUGCGGUCGGUUGUAUCAAGGAUUUAGCUACGGAUGCUACGAAGGAGGUUGCAGGUUUAGAAUUGACAUUCAAUGUAUGUUAUUUUCGGACACCUUGAAGCACCCAAGUCAUGAGCAUUCACUCUUUCUUGUCCACAACAACCAGGAAACGAGUUGCAGUGCUUGUUUCGAAAAGCUAUUCCCAUGGAAUGUUACUUAUAGAUGCAUGAAGCGCUGUGAUUUCAGUUUAGAUGUAGGUUGUGCAACACUACCACUCGCUGCUUGUUACAAGUAUGACAGGCAUCCUCAGUUUAGAUGUAGGUUGUGCAACACUACCACUCGCUGCUUGUUACAAGUAUGACAGGCAUCCUCUUACUUUGACUUGUUCUGAUGAUUUUGAGCCUUCUCAACUUUACUGCGAUCUAUGCGAGAAAGAAAGAGAGCCAAAUCGUUGGUUUUACUACUGUGCUGAUUGUGAUAACUCUCUUCAUCUCAACUGUGCUCUUGGGGAUCUCCCAUAUAUGAAGCUUGGGAACAAACUCAAAGGUUUUCAUAAGCAUCCACUCACUAUUGUGAAAAACAUUUGGAAUUGCCCUCCAUGUAAGGUAUGUGAUGAGGUUUGCAAUGGGCAGGCUGUAGAAUGUAAAGAAUCUGAAUGCAACUUUACCGCCCACUGGUAUUGCUGCCGUAAGUAUAUCAAGUGAAGCAUUUCAACGAUAUUCCAAUCAAGUGAAACAUAGAAAGCGCAAGAUGAGAGGUGUGUCGUGUUCUGUGGAAGGGUGUAGUUAGAUUUGGUAAAAAUGAGUGAUGGCCUUAAUUGUUGUAAUCUGCAUUACGUUAUGUUUAUGAUAGUUGUUUGAGCAAUAGAAGAUUGUGUUAGAUGAAACAUGAUUUGUAACCACACAUCUUUAUUUUUCAGUUUUCUUAUCUGCUUGUUAUUCUUUCAACUUUUAUCUAAAAUUAUUAACGAGAACGAAGAAGUGCUUUCUAACUUGUCAUAAUAAAAUAUUUUUAUUAUCAAAACCAUGAAAACACCAAAAUAAUGAAAAUAAUGUUGAGUUCGGAAAUUUAAAUACAAAAUCAUUCUUCCAUUCAUAACUGCAUAAAAAAUUGUUUGAGAUAGUUAAGACCAAAACAUAAGCGGAUUUGGUAAAUCUUAUUAUGCUUGCGCAGUGGAAAUGUAAGCAGGCAUACAAAAUAAAAGUGUAUACAUGUUUUAGCUUUACAAUUUAGGUUAAUUAAGUCAACUUAAUUAAUUUUAUUUGUACUCCAUUUUCUAAUUAAUAUUGUUAUGCCUAAUUUCUUGAAAAAAUUUUUUUUUUCUUUAUUUUAGAUCUUUUUCUAAAAUUUUGAAUUAACUCUUGCAAAUUUGAUUCUUACAUCAUAUUUUACUGUUCACAACUUAGAAAAGACUAAAUUCAAUUUAGGCAUUCAAUUUAGGCAAAAUGUCCCUUUUUUUUUCUUUGCCCUCAAAAUAUUAAAAAUAAAAAAUCCCUUCUCUUUCAGUUCGAUUUGUAAUUUUUAAUUUUUAUCAAAUUAUCCAAAAUUAAGUGAAAAAAUUAACAAGCUGUUAAUUUUGAUGAUGUGGAUGAUUAAUGUUGUUGUGAUAUUCAUAACAAUUCACGUUAGUAAAAAUUAAUUAUUUUUAAAAAAUUAAAAAUUUUAAAAUUUUAAAAAUUGACAUCUAUUUUUUUAUUUACUAAUUUUUUUCAAUCAAACUUCUUAUUAUAUUUGCUCUUUUCGACACAAUACUUAGAACUACCCAUAGCCCUUCCUCAACUCAUAAAUAGGAGCAUAAUAUGCUUCAACGCACUUAAACUCACAUCCUCCUGCAUUGACAUUAAUGUUAAUGCUAAUCAAAUUAAGACUCAAUUGGCUACUUACUAAUUUUAAAAAAAUACAAAAUUAUUUUCUUAAAUAAUUUAAUAUUAAGCUGUCAAUUUUAAAGUAUUAAUAAAUUAAACUAAACAAUAUUUCUAUUAAUAAAAAUCAUUUUCUUCCUUUUUUAAAAAAAAAAACCUAAAUAAACUCUAAAUAGAACUUCGAUCUCUUGAACCCACCUUCAUAUCAUCUUAAGAUUCUAGACAUAGCUUGUUGCACUAAUAAAUAGAGAAAAAAAAAAGAAGUACGAACUUUUAACUCAAAUGAGAGAAGAUAAUUUUUAUUGAAUUGAAGAAUAAUUUUAUACAAUUCUAGUCUUCCAUAGGCUUUACAAUAGCUCAAAGCUAAAAAUAACAGAAUUAAAUAUGAAAAAAAUUGAAAAUUUUAUUUAAGUUCUCUCAAAACUUUUUAAAAAUUCUCAUUAAAAUUUUCAAAAUUUGUAAUUAAAAUUUUUAAAAGUUUUAAAAAUUCUGAUUAAACCCCCAAAAUAUUUUAAAUUUCAAUUAAGUCCUCUCAAAAUUUAAUACCAAAAUCCACCGUCGAUUCUAUAUAACAAAUAAUACUAUUAUGCAAAAAUUCUAAAAAGAUUUCGGGGAAAUUAUUUAAAUUAACUAGAUAACCUUUUGCGUAAUUUUUAAUUUUGAUUUAAAAAUUCCAAAAUUAUUCUUCUCUAUUAUAUUUUUAUUAUCAGUUGAAGCCAAAUAUAAUACUAAUUGAAGCGGACGUAACCAUAAUGAGAGUGAUCAAAUUAUUGUAUUUUGAUACCAAAGACCAAAGUUAGGUGCUAUGUAAUUUAUCUCCUCCAAAAUUGUAAUGAUAAAAAGAAUGAUAAUAUCAUAUUUGACCCCUAUACUUUAUCAUAAUAUCUAAUAUGGUAUCUUCACUUUUAAAAUAUCAAUUUUGAUACUUAAACUUUAAUUCUAUUUAUUAUUGCCAUAUAUCCUUCUAAUGGAGUUAAAAUCUUACCUCACUUUGAAUACAACCAGUUGUAUGCCGUCAUGUGGCACUAUUAGGUAGAAAAUUUUUAAUCAAAGUCAAGGGAUUUGAAAAUAAUUAUACCAAAAUUUAUUCUAAAGGUCGAAAUGAAAAAUAUUAAGACCGACCCAAGCCCGGCACAAUUUAGCCCAUCAACGCAACUACCUUAAACUUAUACUUUGCCCUUAUACUAUCCAAUUCAAUCUAAGCUUAAAAUAAAAAUUGCCCCCUAAAUUAUAUUCAUUUUCUCAAACAUAUAUCUAAACCUUUUUUUUUUUUGUCAAAUUCAGUACUUAAAGUAAUUUUUUCCCACAUUGGCACCCUGUUAAUUCUCCGCCAUUAGUCAACCUUGUUAAAUGUUCAAUGAUGAUGUGGCCCAAUCACUAAUCGACACAUGACAAAAAAAAGUCACUUAAGUAAACCAUCUCAUUAUUUGUAUAAAAUAAUUCUAAAAAUAAUUUUUUUAGAAAAAAUUAAAAUUAUUUUUUGAUAUUAUUUUAAUAUUAAUUAAAAAUAAUAUUAAGAAAUAUUUCCACACCCCAUCCCUCUCCAAUCAUUCCCCCACCACUACUCUCCCAUCCCUCUCUCUGCCCCCCACCAUCCUUACCCCAACCCUCUCUCUCUGCUAACCCUUCAAUUAUAUUUUCAUUAAAAAAAAAUUUCCUCCUUUCUUUCUUUAACAUGGAUUCUUUGUCCCACAAUUGUCUUCAAAUUCAUCCACCACAUGUUUGGGAAAAUGCCCUAAAAAACUAAAUUUUAAGUUUCAAAUUGGUGUUUUCCUUUUCAUGUAUUGGAUUUACUUUCUUAGAGUAGGAUUAUAAGUUUAUACCUAAACAAUAAAGGGAGCAUUUCAGUGUUGAUUUUUGUGGGUAAAGGUUUUAUAUUUUGUUAGUUUGGUUUAGUGGACACUUAAUUUUAUUUAUGGUCUUCUUUCAAUCUAGAAUUUCAUUUGUACUCUGAAACUAUGAAGUGCAAAUAACCAAAUUAAGUAUCUUUAAUGCACCAAUUGUUUGCGUCUUUUACAGGAAAUAAUUUCUCUAGUUUUUUAUUUUGCCACGUGUCUAUUGGUGAUUGAGCCAUAUCAUCAUUGACAAGGUUGAUUAACGGCUGACUAACGAGGUACAAAUGUGAGAAAAAAAUAUAGUUUAGAUACUCAAAUUGAUCAAAAAAGUGUUUAGGUACUUAUUUAAACAAAUGAGUAUAUUUUAAGGACAAUUUUGAUAUUAAGCCUUCAAUCUAUAAAUAGAUUUACUUAUAAUUAAUUUAAUUUAAUUUAAUAUGAUCUGAUUCAAAUUAAUUGUUAAAUACAUUUAGUGACUUAAAUUUUAGUCACAAAUGACAAUCUUCUACAACAUAGUUUUUUAGUUCAAAUUGGUACUUUCAAAUAACUAAGUAUUAAUUUUGGAUAAAAAAACACCAAAUUCAGGUAUUAAUUUGAAUAAGAAGCGAAGUUUAAGUACUUAAUUGGACCAAAAUACCAAAUGGAACUUUGAAGUCAUGUUCAAGUACCUAAUUGGAAAGAAAAAAACCUUAGCUAUCAAUUUGAACUCUGAAGCUAAGUUCAAGUACCAAAAUGUAUAUCUCCCUUACUUUUUCCAAUAACCGAGAGCAUUCUAGUGAUUAUGUUGAAAGUAGACCUUAAUUUUCUGUCACCGACAAUCACAAUCCUUUUUGCGUUAUUUCUCAAUUUUUAGUUCAUAAACUAUCAAGAAUACUUCUUUUUUUUUUUCUUUUUUUUUUUUACAGUGAUUAUGUUGAGAUUUCCUAAAAUUCUCUUUUUAUUUGCAAGGAAUCUACAACUCUAGUGUAAAUCAGGGACAUUGUCUUUGAUCGCAGGGUGUUCCCUGAAAUGCUUGACACAAGCAUGCAGGCGUGGGAAGCUAUCAGCUUUGAUAAACUUAAAUCCCACCACCUCUUCCAUAGGCGCCAACAUAUGAAUAACUAUUCCUAAAACGAGGUCAGCCAUGCCAAUUCCAUUAAAAAGAGGCCUACGCUAAGCUACCAAGCGAAGAGGAAGAAGAAGAGAUGGUUUCAGGGUGAGGCAUGUGCGCCAAAACCCAAGAGGGUAGUGGUGGAUGCAAGGCAUCACAUGCUGGGAAGGUUGGAUUCCAUAUUGGCCAAGGAGUUGUUGAAUGGCCAAAAAGUAGUGGUGGUGAGAUGUGAAGAGAUAUGCAUGUGGGGUGGAUUGGUUAGGCAGAAGAUGAAGCACAUGAGGUUUCUUAGGAAGCGUAUGAACACUAAGCCUUCUCAUGGUCUCAUCCUGUUUCCUGCUCCUGCUAACAUCCUCUGGCGUACCAUUCGUGGGUGUGUUUUUGUUUUCGAGUUUUUUUUUCCCUUUUAGUGUUGUUUUUACAGUUCUUUAUUUGGUCUGUGAAUGAAAAGGAUGGAAAUUUCUGGGUUUUUGAUGCUUGGUAAUUCAGGAAGUGUUUGUUAUGAACUUUUUGAGAGAUUUUUUCUAUUUAUUUGAAGUUCUAUGAUUUGGAUAUUGGAAUAUAUAUUGCAAAAGAACCAAAGGAAUCUGUGUAUUUUGUUAUAUUUGAUUUCAAAAUUAAUAAUUAGAGUUUGCUAUUGAUUUUUCUUAUUAGAGAUCUGUGUGUCUGUUAUGGUUGGUUUUUGGGAAAAUGUAGGGAAGAAGUGAAAGAGAGUAGAAUGAGUGUGCUUGAGGUUAUUAUUGUUGGAUUGAGAGAAAACUAAUAGCUGACAAGGUCUAUGAAUCUUAUGGUGCAAAGGCAAUGCAUUUGGCUUCAGCAUAUAUGAAGUAAAGUAUAUAACUGGGCUUCAUUGUGACUUUCCUUAUGGUAACUGAUAUUUGCUUUGAUUGCAGGAUGAUUCCUCACAAAGAGUAAGCGCAAAGUGGCAGCUUUCGCUGGGUUGAAAUUGAAGGCUUAUGAGGGGAUUCCUGGACCAUAUGAUAAGACUAAGAGAAUGGUUAUUCGUGAUGCUCUCAUGUUUUGCGGUAGUUGGUUUCUUUCGUGGAAUUUAGAAUUUGGUUUUCGUACUUGCUUCAGUGGAUAGUUAGUCAUGCUCAAUGUUUUAAUUGUUCUUUCGGUUUUUUUAACUUAGGGUUUUGAGGUUUCAGAAAGGACACAAAUUGGUGGAGAAAAUAGCAUUACCCUGGAGUAAAUAUGAAAUAAAACAUUGAACGCUUUUAUGUAGGUUAUCCAACAUGCUGAAUGCUUAGGACUUGGUUUGGAGCUUUAGGAACUACUAAUGAAGAAGUUUAUGAAGACAUCAAAAGAGUCAUUUUAUUGGUUUGGCAGUUCUAGGACUUGGUUGUCCUUUACUCAGAGCCAGAGCAGGUAGGUUCUGUUUUUACUCGGCUGUUUGUGAUUGAUGUUUGUUGCACCUUUUCCCCCUCUCCUUUUCUAACUGUAUUGUAGGUUUGGGUCAGUGGUUGGGCUAUGAAUUUAUGAAUAUCACACUGUUGUGUCUGAUUAACACUGCAGACUCCUGGAAUUGUCUCCUUACUGAGUCUUACAACCUAUCAAGACGACACCAAACCAAACCUGCGGCAUACAGAAGAAAAACAUUCCUUGCAAUAAAAUUAAAACUGAUACAAAAACCACAACAUCCGUAGGGAAGCAUCAAAACACCUCAAAAAGAUAACCACAGUGGCACUUGCAUGCACCACAGCUCAUGACAGCAAUCGAAAAAGAGAUCAACUUCAAGACAUCAUCUCAUGUUAUCAAUUUGUGAGCAUCCCUUAGAAACUAAAUAAACACCAUAAAAGAAGCCUACACACCGUCCUCACUCAUCCUUAGAUUAAAA
rnacentral:lncRNA from 1 species